UUUUUUUUUUUUUUUGUCAAGAAUUGUUAACAGAAACCCAAGCAUUCAUUCUUUCUACCUUGAAAAUUCUUUAUCAUUAGAGGACCUCACUCUACAGUGACAAACAAGCCUUUAUUUGCCUACUCAUUUGAAUCUGGCUGCCUACGUGCUAUUGAUGUUUUCACUUUCGAGGAGCAUUACCAGAACAAUUCGUUUUAAUGGUGUAUGAUAAAUGCAAAAAGCUCUACGUUUUACUGUACAAUCUGCAGCUAUUCCCUAGCCGGAAUAGCUUGGCCGCCUACUCCGUCCGUGGCCACUACGCUCUACUUUCGGUCACGAAAAGAACCCUAUAUUGCUAAGACAAAUUUUUCUGUACCAGAAAGAACGGCAAUUGUAUGUGCUUCCUUGUAUACACUACUCAUUCAUCCUCGGUUUUGUUUAACCAAUUGUUAUUUUGGAGUAUUAAUUUCAUCAUUUUAUAUGAUGUGGAGUAUUCCAAUCUUUUAACCAGACUAAUUUUCAAAGACGGUGUAGAGUCCUUUAGCAUAAUAGUUGUAUUUGGUUAAUCGAAAAUAGUCAAAAAAGAAAAAAAAAGAUUAGCAAGCAAAGCAAAAACAACGCGUUUUUUUGGUCACUGACAAGAGGUGAAAAAAGAGCACCAAUUUCCGUUGGCACUCGGACAAAUUUCAUCGAGGGAUCCAUUCCAACCUUUUAAGCCAAAAACUCAAAACCUAUCAUGAUGUUGUUUUGGAAGAUUUCAAGUUUUUUUCUAACUUCGUCCACUUCCCUUUUUGAAGUUGGAUGCUUGUCUAAAUGCUACCAUUACUCACAGGUCUACCACAUAAUCAUCAAUUUCACAUCCCACUUUAUUUGCUUUUUCACCUACCCAUGCUAUUAAGUAAUAAUUACUUACGCGAUAGGUGAGAGUGAGAUGAUACAGCAUCCUGUUGGUGCCGGUGCCGUUGGAGGACAGCCCAUAUCAUAUUCCUCUUCUUCUAUCUAAGUGAGGGUAUAAAGGAUCAUCAAACUCCCGCUUCAUCCAUAUGAUCUAUCUCCCGUCAUUCCUCGCUGAAUAUUGUGCUUUUCAUAGUUGCUUUGCCUCCCAGUCAAAGUGUCUCAGUAUGAAGUUUGUUUUAAAUUCAUACGGAUGUGUGAUAUGUCCGUCUGAUCUGAUAGUGAUUCAAUCUCUGUCAGAUUUCCUCGACUCAGUUGAGCCUUUUCAUAGUGUAUAUUCCACCCUCUCCCGCCCCCUAGGAGUAGAAAUAGACUAGACAUGUAUCGUUACGAACAAAAAAAGUUGCUUUUCUUCUCUGUACACGUACACGCUAAUAUUUUUUUUCCUCACUAAACAUCAUGGCGGACAUUGGUCAAAGAUUGAUAUUUUGACACCAUUAUAGUCAAUCUUAGUUAGCUGAGGCCUCAAGGAUCUUCCCUCUAACAAAUACAGAAAAUAAACAAUAUAUAUAUAUAAAUUGAUAUUGCUGAUAAAUUGCCCAAUCUGGUUGAACAUUUUUUCAGAUAAAGUAACUGAAAGAUUUGACUCGAUAAGCAAGCAUAUUUAGAUGUUAAUCAUAACCUAAACACUGGAAAAGAUUUGUGUCAAAAUUAUUUUGCAACCCUCCAAAUAAUCCCAGUCGAUUUGGUUAGCUAAUCAUACAGGAAUCGAACUAACACCAUGCAUCGAUAGCAUCCUCAAACUAGCAGCAAAUGUGCUUCUAAUACCUAUGACAUAUUUGCUCGUCUCUACUCGCCAAGACAGCGGAACUUCUGCGACAAAAUACGCUGCAGCACUCUAGGCUCAUGGUAGUUUCGUAAAACAGCAGGAUAUUUUUCACUCCAUAAGAGUCCCAGGGUAAAAAUCUCAAAGUGGAAGCAAACGGAGAUUCACGAGUAUCUACUUUUUGGUAGUUGUGAUACAGGGACAAAAACGGUGAUAGUGGCUAACUUUUUUAGUCUUCAUACAUAUCCAUUACAUGCUUGAAGAAAUCUGCAAAGCAAAUGAAUAAUCUGUACACCGAAAAGUUGCAAAAAAGGUGGUAUUGAAUCACGUAGUUGACAACCAUGUACUUCUAUACGUACUUUUACAUAUCUGACAAAAACAAAAUGAUGAAACAUAAGCAAAGAGUCCUUCGAUCUGAUAAUAAUUUCAGACCUACUCAACAGUGAAAGUAGUGAACCUAGAAGCAUAAAAGCCCACAUUCCACGGGGCUGUAAUCUACAUGUCCAGCGAUCUCCAUAGCACUACAGAGAUUUCAAGGCCAGAAAGAAAGCAAGAAACACUUGCAGUUGAAACACAAGCAAGCAGUAGUAAUGGAGUUGAUGUGUCGAAAUAGCAAAGCACUAUUUCUAUAUACCUUGUGAAAAAACACAAACAUAUGGUUACUUUGAUAAUGUCCCGUGACCUGACUCAUAACCUUCAUUGCUUGUGAUUGAACUGUCAAGAAGCACCGCAUGUUUAUACUUGUGCACUAAUCUAGUAUAGUUACAAUGCACGUAUCAAGAAAAAAACAUAGAUAAAUUCAAAAAAACAGAGGAGACAAAAAAGACCGAGAGCAAUAGAAAAGCUAAUAUUACCUUCAAAAAACUUCGAAGGUAAUUGGAUUCAAUCAGCAUGCUCACGAAAACGUACAAUUUUGUUGAUAAAAGGCCUCUCACCACGAUAGCUAUUCAUUGAAAUAAGAGGUAUAUUAUGAAACAAAGCAGAAGCUAGAGAACAUUUUAAGUCAAUAAAGACGUAUAACUUUGGGUAAAGGCCGUAACAACGUUCUAUAUCAGUUUAAACACAGUAGAAGUGAAUACUUACAUGACAAUUGCUGCUAUAAUCAGACAAGCAAAGCCAAUAGAGAAAUGGACACAAAACGUCGCCCAGAAGUUAUCCCGGUCCAAAAAAAGAGUCUCUGAUAUCAGAGUAACAACACAUGAAAAUACCAAAAGAGACCACCCUGAAGGCAAGCAGCUCCAAAAGGAAAAUGACAAAGAACCCUGAGAAAAAGUAACUGCAUGUCUUUAGAACAAGAUUAAAUCCUACGUUUAACAUACCAAAUCCCAGAUGAAAAAAAUCUUGAUCUGACGAAAGAUAUACCUGGAAAUAAUUUUUGAUGAAUAUUGCUGAGUAAAUAAUCCUGAAAAUCAUAUCUAAGUAGUAGUUAAUUUUUUUUCCGUGUAUUUCAUCAUACAGGAACAUAAAGUGCUAAUCCUGUGACACUGAAGGCAUUAACUUUUGAUAUUCAUUUAAUAUAUGGCCUACCCAGCUAUCAGUUCAUGUACACUGCAUAAUGACCUUUUGUUCUAAAGCACAUAAGAAUAUCUCUACAAGUAAAAGUAGCAACACAUGAUGGAGAAUGUGGAAAAUUAAGAUACCGAUAUGCAAGGUAAGAGACCGAUAUGCAUGCUAAUAUAGAAUCAGCUAAAACACCAGGUACUGCCAAAAGAUAACAAAAGGAUACUCAAGGAAUUUGCAAUAAUUAGCCCAACUGCACCAAUUGAUUGUAUCAGACAGACAUUUAGCACUAGGUAAAUCAAUGAGAAAAAAAGCAGGAAAUCGUUCCAGCGCCUGAGUGAAUUCUCUGUUGCAACUGCAUGCAAAAAAGCUUCAGAUGUUCCUGUGAACGAAAAGGGUAAAAACUCAAUUUUUCACUCACACACUACUGUAUGGAGAAGUUGCCCACAAUUGAUUAGGUAGUUGCAUUAUUACAUCACUAACCAUUCAUAGCCAAAGUGACCACAUAAAGCAUGUAAUAUCUAAGGGCUGUUGAAGCUUCCCCAUCACUCCAUUUCCGACCAUACAAUAUUCUAAUAAGAGAGUAAGAAUAGCUUGGUCCAAACGCCAUAACCAUGAGUCCUACAGAAUAUGCAAAAACAAGAGAGCAGGCUAAGAGAAUUGCAUAAUCAAAUUUUUGCACAAGGGAGAAAGAAAAAGUAGAUUGGGGCUAAUGGCCACACAUGACUAACAGGACAUAUAGAGGUAGCCUGGUAAGACCUACAGCUUCAAGGCUACUAAUAACUCUUUUUCUAUUUAUAAAAAUCAAAUACAAGUAACCUGAAUUGCAACCUCGUCUCCACAAGGCCUAAACCCCUUGUAACAGAGGGUUGUUUUUUAACAAAGAUCAAUCGAAGUCAAUAAAAUUUUUGUAUUCAUUGGCUUCUUAAACUCAAUUUGAUAGGCUAUCUAUUGUUCGAUAAUAUGUUAGGAAAAAACCAAGCCAGUUAAUUAAACUUAGCUUUUUCAUCCACUUGAUUAAUCCUCCACUACAGCUAUAAUAGCAACUUUAUAAACCAAACUUGAUCAAACAAAUUAAUCAAAACAGAAGAAGGCAAACAACUGGUAAAAAGUAUGAUUAGCAAGGUUCUCAAAAACUCUAUAAAAGGCUACCUAUAAGCAAAACCAGUUUCAAAGCAUCUGUUAAACAACUUGCCAACUUCCUCUUCUUCUGAGUAUAUUCUCCUGCAAAGAAUUAUAAUAUUAUCAUGAGCACGAACGUCCCACAAAAUAAAGAGUGAAAAAGUGACUGAAGAAUUGAGAUAUAAGAGAACCCCAAAAAAGAGGGCAAUACUAAAGAUUGAAAAACCAAUUCAUUGCUUAAAAUAUGAUCUGAGAGUGAAGAUGAUGGCGAAAUAAACCUGAUGCAGACCUUGCAAAGGUAGCAUACGAACUCUCUUCAAAAGGUAGAAACACCAGCCUCACUACUAAACUGCCUGAAAGUCAAACCAGAUUUUGCUUUAAAAUCAUGCUUGUGAAAUAUGUGUUCAGGGUCCAGAUCAACAAUCAAGUCAAACUACUAAUCAUCCAUUUUCAGGGAACCAUGAAAUCAAGUCUUGGAAAACAAAAUAGAGCGAUCAGUUUACCUAAUUUGUCAACAAGUCCAUAUACAGCCUGAUUAUAUGGUGUGUCAAACCAUACAAGGACCAUCUUUUCUCCUUCUUGAAGAAUCAACUUCCUAACUGACUGAAGAGUGAACAACCUACACAUGGCUGUGAGUUGCUUGUCAUAGUUCAUCAUGUUUCCUACACUGUAGAAGCAUUUAUUGUUAACUCACAAAAUCUUCAGUACAACUAGUGGCAUAUCCAAGAAGGAAAAGUUAAUAAAAAGAAAAUUGUGACCAUACUCAUCUCUAUCAAAGAUAAUUUUAUUUUAAAAAACUAGGCCAGAAUAAUUUAUGUUUAUCUUACAAAGAUGUUAAAUUUCUUAAGACAAAAAUCAUUAUAGACAACAACACGUAAAACAAAACCUUUGUAAUAACUAACAGCUCCCUUUCUCAUUGUGCAUGCUUGAUAUCUUGAUAUUAACAUCCCAACCACCACUCCAUAGGCUACUUUAGAAGUUAAAAGAUAACGGAUAUCCUCAGCAAUUGAAAUAUAAGACGCCAACUAACUAUUCUAAUUGUUUAAUGUAUCUGUGAUAACAUUUACAAACACUUAGUGACCCCACAAUAUUUGCAUAGCUACUCAACAUAAAUUCCGACAUCGACUGCAAUCAUACAUAAAAGUAUUAUUGAUUAUUCAAAUUGGAUUUAAUAACAAGGGAUAUUCUGGCCAUCACUUUAAAAUGGCCUGAACUCUGCAUGCAGAAUUUGUGUAUCACCCAGAUGGGCAUCAUGAAACAGCAAGGACAAGCAUAGGAACUUCCUUAAUUUUGCCACAACAUCAGUAUAACAUCUCCUGGCUUGGAAAGACUAGAGUUUUUCCCUAUUUUCUACUUUUUUUUAAAAGAAAUUCAAGCAAAAAUAGAAAUACGAACCUGAAUGGAAAAAGAUCAGAUACUUUAUACAUACGAUAAAGAAGAAAGUAGCCCCAAUAACCAGCUAACAUAGAAGCUCCAUAUGCAGUUUGUGACAAGGCAAAUACAAUAGCUUUCUCCUGAAGAUUAAACAAGAAGAAGGUUGACAUAAGCAUACCAAAAACUUUGCUUCCUAUGUUUCCAACUUUUAUGCCAUUCAAAAGCUGAUUCCCACUUCAGAAAUUACAAUUUUGACCCAAGUGGCAUAGCUCAACUUACUUAGGUUUGUUAUUUUGACAAACUUUGAAGCAAAAGAUGGAUACAAUAACUUUGAGAAAAACCACAAUACACCAUACAAGUAGAAACAUACAAUUAGAAAGAAACGGGGAACAGGCUAUACAACCAAUAUUAUUUCAAUUUUUUUAGCCGUAAUCCAUGUCUAAAUAACAAUUGACAACAUAUGGACCUUGUUCAACAUCUAACUGUUCUCAACUCCAUAGAGUUAAAUUAAAUGGAAAAAGAAAAAAAAUGCCAACAAAGGCUAAACAGAUUCCUAAUAUCAAUAUCUUAUACCACCCACUAUAAAUGAACAAAAGAUUGAACUGUUGUUACCGUGUCAGUUUGCUUCACAAUGAGAGCAUAUGUUGUCAGACACCGCAUAAAUGUAGCUACAGUUUCAAUUACUAGGCGCAGUUUGAGUAGAAGCAAAUUUUGAGAUAAGAUAUAAAAGGGCUCAGCCAAUAUCUCCAAUACGCACGCAAAACCUGCAAUAUUUCAUGGAACAUAUAUUGCAUUGGAUGGACUAGUUAAGGUCAUCAACAUGCAGUAUCAAACUAGAGUGAAAUGAAGAGUCAAUAAUCAUGUCUUAGUUUUCUAGGCCAGGACAUGUCAAGGAAACUUCUCUCAGUAUGUUGAGAAACAGUCAGAGUUCUCCAUGGUGCAUGCUUCUUUUGUAUAAUAAAACCCCAAAACUUAUGCAAACCUUCAGAAUUAAUUAUGUCACACUUGAUGAAAAGCUGAGAGCAAGGAAGCAAUAGAUAAUUACUCAGGCACGAUAGAAAAUUGAUUUUGGAAGUUCAUAAAAUGAUUUCAUCUUACCAUUAAUCAAGAUAGCUUGUGCAUAUGGACUCUGAUAACCUAACCCCUGCCACCAGAGAACUAGUGCACAUCCUGCAAGUGUAAAAAGUAUUCCUAGGGGGAAGGUCAUCCAAGCUACUUUUAGAAGUCGUGUUGAAUUUUCUCCCAUUGAAGUGUCAUCACUACAAAGAAGACAUAAUCAGGAUUCAACCUUUCAGGUCUAAAAAAAGGGUUAAUCACAAUUAAUCCCCUUAAGGUAUACCCCAUUUCUUGCUUUAUCCCUAACCUUUUUUUUUUGUCUCACUUUAUCCCCUAUUGGACAAAUUACCCCUCCAUUAUUCUAAUUUUUUUUUCUCCUUUUUGUAUUUUUUUCUUUCCCCUUUUUCCCUCUAUUUUCUUUGUCUCUUUCUUCUUUCGUUUGUUCUUCCUUUUUCCCACAAGAAAUUUCAUUUCAGUGAUUGAAACUAAAAACGAGGAAUUGCAGAGAUCUACCUUCUCUUCAUGUGAUCACAAAAUAUUCAAACCCUUUCCCCAAAAUACCAUUUUUUGCCCUUUCAAUUCUUUUGCCUUUUUCCCCCCUUUCCCAUCCCAGUUUCUUAUUUUAUUCUCAGGAAAACAUUACAAGAUAAAUUUGUGACAUGAUUAAUUAUCAUUAAUUGGAAUUUGCAACACAUGGCAUCAUACAAAAGAUCGAAAUUACCUUUUGAUGCCUUUCAAAGUUUCACCCUUAAAACCAAUUACAAUUUCCAGAUAAAGUUUUCUAUUGAGAAUGAUAGAAGAGAGAAGAAAGAGAAAAAGAAGUAAAGGAGGGGGAAGGGGAGGCGAGAAAAAAAGAUAAAUGAAAAGUCAAAAUAAUGGAAAGGUAAUUUUGUCCUAUAGGGGAUUAAGUAAUAAAAAAUAAAGGUUAGGAGGUAAAGUAAGAUACGGGGUAUACUUUAAGGGGAUUAAUUGUAAUUAAACCCAAAAAAUUAAAUAUUAAACCUAUAAACUACACUAGCAAGUGUUACAUUUUCAUAAAGUAGCACCAGAAGACCCAUUGUGUAACAUAAUCGCCAAAGUAAAAAUAGCUAAAACAAGUUCACAGGCAAAUGUUGAGCAGUUCAUCUUUACAAAGCAAUGCUACAUUGAAAACAAAAUUGACUUUCCUAAAUAUCUUAAGUAGUUGAUGCUAAGAUUACGUUGAGAUCACUUUGAUAGAAGGCUUUAUAGAAAAGGUAACCGUCAGCAAAGAUUCCAUUUUCUCUCUAAGGUUAAUUUACAUAACCUCAUGUUCUCACUUUUUCUAUAUAUUCACGCCAAGUUAAAUCAGGAUACCCUACACUAAACCAGGGUAGGUAAACUAAUUUUUGAUGUGUAAAGAUAUGUAAACAGAGAAUUCUAAUCAAAUAAAACCAAAUGCCACAACAAUUUUCAGACAUUCAUGGGACUUAACUAAACUUCAUCAAAUUUUUAUGAAUCAAUAAGAAGUCAUCAUGCAUUUUACUUCAAAAUAUUUAAACUUCACCAUUUACUCACCAUCAUGAACAGAGAAAAAUUAAAACAGAUACUUGAAAAUGACCAAAAAAAACCCGAAAUAGUUUAGAGCUUGCUUAAAACUCAACACAUAUCACUUUCAUUGCAAAACUUAACCAUCCACUGGCAGAAAGUUAUCACCAAAAUAAUAAUUCAAUAGCCAAUAUUUUGGGUAUACCAUCUAAAGUCAGCUCUCAAGCAUGCUCGCCGAAAGCCCUCCCGACUAAGGAACAAUAUGCAGGUGACAAACAGAUGGAAUUGUACAGCAUACAGCUGCAUAAUGUUUUUAAACAACAAAUGUUAGGCAUUACUCAAUGGAAAGAUAAUAAAUGAUAACUCGAUUAUAGAAUGUAUGAGAAAAUCCACAAAAGGUAGGUCAAAUAACAAAGAUCAUAAAACUACAGACAUUGACUUGUGAUGUAUUAAAAAAAACAGAUUCUAACAAGUUCUACCCCCAAGAAAACUUAUGUUAAUCUCACUUUUCAAAAGAUUUACUUCAAGUGCAACAUUCAACUUGUGCAACUACUAUGGAAAGUUCAAUAAAAAUAUCGAGCUUGAAUUCUUUAGUCUUCGCUAGAUCAGAGAAAGAAGAUUUCAAAAUGGUAGCAAAGAAACAUUAUGGCAGGCCCCAACCUGAAAUUAAAAAGGACGAUCACAUAGUAUUCUGAUAAAAAAAAGGGGGUGAAUAAUUCCAAAAAAAAUGCCAGGUCCUUUUUCUAACUACUUAGAGUCAGUAAUCAACAUCCUGAUUCAACCAUUCUGUUCAAUUUCAGCCCAGGCCUUAUUACAUUCAUAAAAUCUCCUGCUUCAUGAAAUCAAAGAAGAGAAAGUUAACCCUUCUGAAUUAUAAUUAUCCCCAUUCGUCUCAACAUAAUGCCAUACCUUAACACAACAAAAACAACAUUAAAUUGCAACAAUGACACAAACAUCAGUUAUAUCACAAUUAGCUGGAAAAGUGCAUUAUUAAUUUACACCGUCUAAAAUAGGCAUUGCUGCCCAAUAUUAAGAUGCUGGUCGUACACCAAUCCCUCCUCCUCCUCUGCACUCCUCCAUCCCUCACUCCCUUAAACAAGUAACUUUAGAGCAACCUCCAUCACCAUAACUUUGUAUUGCUAUAGGGUAACUAAACCACUUUCUGAUGGGGGAAAGUCCCCAAUCAUAGCAAGUAUUUAUGAGGUGCUUUGUUGAUAAUCCGCAUUUAAUCAACUGAGGAAGCGCGACCAUCGAACAAUAACAGGCUGUAUUGACCCUAUAGUGAUGCAAAAUAAAAAUUUGAAUAAAAAACGACCAAAGGUUUGAUUAGAAGAGUAUACUGCAUAGUCUUCUUCGGUAAGGUGGCGGACGAUCCAUGAAUUGAAUAUAAAUGGUAUUCCCCUUGAUAGAAACUGCGUGGCUACAAAAUACGAAAGCAAUUGCUUACCAAUCAAACCAACUUACUUGAAAUUCAAAAAUAAAAGAAAAAAAAUCAUGCGCAAAUCAAUAAAACGACGAAGCGAAAAAAAACGUUACCCAAUAGGUACUUGAAAGUUCGAGGCAAAUUAGGGGUACGGUCAGCUUCUCCGGAGGGCUGAGACUGCUCCGGAGAAGUUGAAGAUUCCGACAUUACUGAUUUCUAGCUUCUGUAAGUCUAGAAGUAGUAUCUAUAACUAAAAACUUCUAUAGAAGGAGAACGGCGGUGGUAAGGGUGGGAUCUGAUGGAAGCUGAUGGCAGAAAACAGCAACGGUGGUUCCGGUUAGUCCGAGUGCGGUCUGAGAAAUGGCCCCAUCUCUUACAUUCUUUGGGCCUUAGUGUUUGCUAUUUCAACAUUGGGGGUCCUCAAUUUUGUAACAGCCCUAUUUUUUUUUACUUAGUUUUGCAUGCAAUGGAGGCCCAUUGGCCCAUUUAAGAACUAUGUAUAAAACCAGGCGUUGUGACUGCUGAUUGCCCCCGCCCUUAAGUGGGAUUUGGGAUGCGACCAGUCCAAGAAACAGGGACAAUACGUUUGUCUUGGAUUUUUUUUUAAGGGCUGAAUAUUAGAUUACAGGAAUGUUAUUGUUGCAGAAAAAAAACAAAUUAAAUAAAUACUUUAUCCCCUUAUUUAAUAUUUUAAAACAAAUGUGCUCUUGCUGUUGCUAUUUUAUUUAUUCAUUCUCUUGUUUUUUCUUUUUCACUACUUUCUUUUAUUUAUUCAUUCUCUUUUUUAUUUUGUUUUACUAAUAUUUUUAUGCAUAGUUGAUUAACCACUAUGUUAUUACGAUCUAAUUUGUUACUAUUAUUAUUAAAAAUUAAUUUAUUUUAGACUUUGGACAUAUUAUUUUAAGUAAUUUAUGAAAUAGCCUAUGCACAUAGAUAACAUUACUUUAUUAUAAUACAUACUUCAUUAUCAUUAUUACUUUCAAUAACAAAUAGUAAAAAAGCUAGAAUUAAAUAAAGAAUAAGUGUAAGAAGAUUAAAAUUUAUGUAUAAAUAAUAGUAGUAAAGAGAAAAAAAGUAGUUAAUCACAUGAGAGAAGGGAGAAAAAUUUUAAAAAAAAUAUAAAGAAAAUGGACAAGUAGAAAAAGGGCAACAAAUGAUAAAAAUAAAUAAUAUAACAAUUAAUAUAGAAUGGAUGCUUUUAUACUAAAACAUGAAACAGGUUAAUAAAGUGCCUAUUUAUUGAGUCGAGUAGCAUAAAGUGUAACUAAGAUAAAGUUGAAGGAGAAUUUAUGCUCUCAAUCCUUUUUUUUAACUCAAUACACACAAGAGGCCCAACACUAAAGAAGGUAUUAAUUUUGACUCCGAAACUAUUCCCUCAAUUUGUAUCUCAAUGACGAUAUUGAUCUAUAUUUUAAAUUAUUAAAAUUGUCAUCAUCUUAGGGUCUAAAAUACAAAUCUACUAUUGGUGAAUUUAAAUUGAAUACAUGAUACUAAAAAGAGAUGGUGGAAUCUGCAACCCUCUAAUUUGGCACACCUGACCCCCAAAAAAAAUAAAAAAAAAGAUUUUGUAAUUUGCACUUUUUCCCUUAACUUUCUUCGAAUUCAAGCUACAUAGAAUAAUUGAUGAAGAAAUGGCAGGUGACGUGCAUGGGGAAGACAAGUGGCAACAAGGGUUAUGACGCCAGUUUACUAGUACUACUUUGGUGUUGUUCGGCGCUUCAGCGGUUUAGCAGAAACGGGACGUCGGAGUAUGAAGGGAACGUUAGGAAACAAAAUUGACACGUCAUGUCUAUCCAUCCAUCUCCGUCAAUUAAAAUGUACUAUUAACAAUGCCCUUUGAGCAUCCAUUAAGACAAUCUUUAGAUACGUGGCAUUUUUUUUAUGUUGUUUUAGAUUUUGUAUAAUUUGAAUAUGAAAAGUUAUUAGAGAGAACAUUAUAAAAUUUGAUUAUCCAAAAUCAGAAUUUAUAAAACAAGAAAUCACCAAAUAAUCACUUCAUGCCCAAAACAACUAAAUUACUAAAAUUUUACUAAUGCUUAAAAACUUCUAAAUAAUUAGAAAUAGGAAACAUAUAGUUUGUUCCGUUGUUUGAGUAAUUUGUUAAGCCGCCUCAAUCGAGUUGACAAGGACAUCAUUGUAUAAAUAUAAGAGAUAUUAAAAGUUGAAUCCUCAAUCCUCAUUUGUAUAAGAAUAAUGAAAUGAAGAAAUAUAAAUAUAUUGGCUCGAACAAUUUAUUUAUUUUUCUGAAGAAUUGAAACCAAUGCUAACUUUUAGUCAAUUUCUUGGUAUCCAAACAAAAUAAAGGAAUUUUAUAGUAGGAAAUCAAUCUAAGAUCGACUUUCCAAAUGAAUGCAUGUACUAAUUAAUUAGCAGAUCAUUGAAAUAAUCACAUCCGAUUUCCUUACGGCACAAGAUGCUUGCGUAGAUACCUAGUACGAUAAUUUUAGAAACCUCCCAUGAGAUUUUUAACUAUUUCAUUAACCUCCCUUUAGGUUUUGAAAAUUACAUAUACCUCCAUCGAGACUUAUUAUCUUAUAACAUCCAAAUCCAACAAAAAAUUAAAAAGUGAUAUUAGAGGAGAGAAGUUAAUAUGAUUUCAUCAUUGUCCCCAUCUAUUAAAUUGUUUAAUUAAUAUAAUUCCAGGCUAAAUAUUAAAGAAAACACUAGAAUUUGCGACUUAUCAUCAGGGUUUAAAUCAUAUAUGGCAUAAAAUAGGAUAUUAUUCCGUGUAUUUUACUUAAUAUAAGAUCUAAAUUACUCUUUUCACUUAUGAACACAUUGUCAAAUAUGACCAAUAACAAAUAAUAAUAAAAAAAUCAGCAACCAAAAUAUUACAAGAAACGAAUUUUAAUACCAUAAAAAUCUCAGCAACUAACGUUAACAUUUUGAUAAGAAUAUUUAUGAUGUUAAAGUUUGUUCUUUGUAAUAUUUUAGUUGCAAAAUUUUUGAUUAUUUAUUGUUGAUCAUAGUUGUUAAUGGGCAUGUAAUUAAAAAGAGUAAUUUGGAUAUUGUGUUAAGUGAAAAUAUAAAAUGAUAUAUUAUUUUUGGUACUAUAUAUAAUUUGAUCUCUAAUAAUAAACAACAAAUUUUCGUGCUUUUCUUUAAUGUGUAAGUUGGUAUUAAAUUAAUUAAAUAAUAUAGUAGAUGAAAGGCAACGAUGGAAUCAUGUUAUCUUCUCUUUUCUAAUAUUGUUUUUUAAUUAUUGGUUGGAUCUAAAUAUUACAAGAAAAUUAAACUCGAGAGAAAUUAGUAUAAUUUUUAAAAUUUGAAAAAAAGUCAGUGAAAUAGUAAAAAACCUUAAGAGAGGUUUCUGAAAUUAUCCCAUACCUAAUAAACCCUUUUAUGCAAAUGCAAUUGUUUUGUGACAUAACGAUAAUAGACAACAAAGAACCCAUAGAAUACUAGAUUCAGCAAAAGGAGAGGGACCAGUUUGAAAAAAAAAAAGAGCAAAAAUCUCACUACGCUACAAGCCUACAACUUCCUAGAGAGACAGAACUCUAUUCCAUUCUAUUCCAUCCAUAAAAAGUAUUUAUCCCUUCUCCUCCAACAAAUCAACCUCAAAAAAAGAACUAAAAAGAAAAAAAACCAGUCCAACACCCACAGCGGCAUUGACAGAGAGAAAAGAAGCACAUGAGGUCAUUUGGUGGUGGCAGCAGAGGCAUGGGCGGAGGAGGCAGCGGUGGUGGGAGCGUGCAGAUGCUAAGAAGUGUUCAAAGGGCUGUGAGAGCCCGAACUGUCGGCGGUGGGGGUGGCGCAGCCCAUGAACCUUUCUCUCAUACUCACCCCUCCACUACCAACACCGCUACUACUACUACUCUUGGUAGAACGAGACAAACUACUUGUAACAAUAACAAGAACCAGCCCAUCACGCUUUCUUCUUCUUCUUCUUCUUCUUCUUCUUCAACAGCUUCAUCUGCUAUAUUUUCUCCAUGCAACAAUCUCCUGCCAACAACAGUAUCAACCGCUGCACCACCCCCCUGGCCUUCUUCUUGUUCAUCGCCUACUUUUACGGAUGAUUCUGAUUGGGAGUGUAUCGAUGACUGUUAUGAAGACUUCGUUUUUGGGACUGUUCCAUCCAAGGACGAGGUCCAUCAUGCAGUUUUUGCUCUCCAGGAGUAAGUUUCUUGAAUUCCAUUUUUUCAUUUUCUUUUUUUCAUAUAAUUUCUUAAAAUUUUGGAAUGAAUUAUCACUUAGUUAUCAUUAACUUUCCAAGGAUGAAGUUUCGUACGGGGUAUCUCUAUUCAAGGAUGGAGUAUAAGGAAUACAUAUUGCUUGCUUAAUUACGGAGAUUUGUCUGACAUCUAAUUAAUAUGGUUAUUUUCCUAUAAUAUCAUUAUACCAUGGAUAUUUGGUUGUUGGAUUUUAUUUUUGGGAUGCUGAUGUUGACUUUGAUGUCGACGUCGGGAGUCAAAUAUUCGCCUUAGUGUAUCAGUCCCUAGGGUUGGAUAGAUCAGUCAAACAAGUUUCUCUAACCAUUGAAAAAAAAUCCCAUAAUCAUUUGCAACACCCAGCUAUGCUAAUUUGACAUAUUUAUGCUGUUGCUUUAUUGUUGAUAAUUAUGCCAUACAAAGAGUACCAUAAGAACCAAAAUUCGUGGUGGUUUACAACUUACAAGCCUUGGAACCCCAGAGACUAUAAAUGUAGAAAACAGCAAGUUAUAUACAAAAAUUAGUUCUUAUUGAGUACUGGGAUUUCUUUUGCCUCCUCGUUUGAGAUUUUACUAAAAAUAAUUAAAGAACAGAGCAUAACGUAAUUCUUAUGAAGCUUAUGUUUACAUUAGCAGUUAAGUCUUGGCAUCAACUCACAUUUCAUUGUUUCAUUGUGAUAAUAUUGCCAUUUCUUGAAAUUUUGUAAUUCUCAGGGUACUAGAUCCAGCCUCAGCUAAAUGUUUGAUCGACGACAUACCUGCAUACAAUUUGGAUGCUGACCUAGGUGGUCAAGUAUCUAGCCUCACUGGUUCCCUGCAAAGAUCUUCUCCAUUUGGCAGCCAGUUGGAUUGGAUGGAGCCCUCAUUGCAACUCUGCAGCCAGAGCACGUUGCAGGCUCAUGAUCGAGUUCAUGAUGCUUUGCACUUGCUCAGGAACGAACCUUCAGUUCAGGUUUAUUUUGCAUGUCAUGACUAUUUGAUUGUUAUUGUUUAAGCUUUGGCGUUAAAUGAGUUUUGCAGGAGUUGAUGGUUAAGAAUGAUCGGCAUCAGGAUCAUGUGAAGUUUUUGUGAUAAUUAAGAAGAAUUUGGAAAUGGACUAACUUAAAAAAAAAAAAAGCCCUUUAUUGUCGUCUUAACAAUUGUCCAAAACCAAAUAUUUUGAAUUUUGGUUAUGGUAAUAUUAAUCUGUAAUUCUUGGAAAAGUUGAGGGAAGAAUCAGAAUGAAUCAUUGAAGGAAAUAUAUGAACUUGGAAAAGCAUCAGUUGUGGAUCUACUUGCUUGAGUAAUUUAGUUGUUUUUAACAUCUCGUGAUAGCAAAUUCCUCGCAAUCUUUUGUAGGGUUUAUUGUCUUAACCAAGAUUAGCUUUCAUGUCAUAUUUUCUAAAUAGAAGCUUUCGCUGCUUAAUUGAUAGAGAAUGGUGGUAUCACUAUCUUCUGAUAAAGCUGUUUGGGAUGCUGUGUUGAAUAAUGAGGUAGUUCAGGAGCUCAGAGGGUCUCUCAGUCAAGGUUUGUAGUAAGUCCAGAAAAUGGGACGUUAUUUCCUCAUUAUAAUUGCGGUAUUAAUGCUUGCAAUUGUUGCCAUUCAUAGUUUCUUUGUUGCCCAUUAAUGUUGUUCUGAUACAUGAAGCAGAUAAAAAUCCUGCUGAGAAAUCAGAUGAUGGUUCUGAUGCUUCUGAUCCAGCAAGAGACUUUCUAAGUUGGGUAAUUGUCAACACCAAAGCGACAGUUAUGGAGCUUGUUGACAAGAUUACGAAGCUAGUAAAUGAACUAUUCCGCACCGAAGGAGGAGGAGGAGACAGGACAGCUGAUAGAAAAGCAGAUCCUUUUGAUGAAAAGCUGAGAGCAUCGUUUCUGCUCUCGGUCGUGGUUAUGCUAAUCGUGGUCGUGGCUCGAUCAAGCAAGGCAUGAUCAUAAUACUCUAAUUUGUCGACCUAACUGGUGGCAUUUCCUGCUGUGUAGGAAACGUUGUCUGUUGUACAUUGUAUUUUAAGUGGUUUUGUAAGAGAAAAUGACAUUCAUGCAUCUGUUUUAUUCUGUUCGUUAAUUUUCUACAGCUCAAGAAGCUUAGACACCCAUAAGAAAAAAAAAAUCAGGGAGCAAAAUGGCCUGGACGAAAUUAUACCGGUCAAUGGGACAAAAUUUUGCGAAGUGUAUGAUAACAUAGAAAAUCAAUAUGGAUUUGAAAAAUAUGAAGAUGAAAAGAAUAUACCGAACCUAAAUAAGUCAAUAGAAGUUUGCAUUCAUCCAGUUACAUUAUUAAUAAAGAAAGAAAAAGCAGGUUCCUAAAAGAAGUUCCUCAACUGCCUAGAAGAUUUUGUAAAGCUGGAGCACCUGUACAACUAGCUACUGUGCAAGACUGAAAGUACACUUCUCAUUGACAUCGCCGAUAAAAGCCUAAUUAUCAGCAAAAUUCUCAAGUCAGAUAAAUCACCGGCGUCAGUAGAUGAUCAAUAUCUGGAGUAACGACAGCCCGCUUACUGACUUCUCCCAGAUUGCAGCAGUGUUUGUCUGAUGUGUUGAUUGCCACAAUAUCCUGAGCAAACGCACAAUUGGAACCAGGAGAAACCUGCAAGUCGUUUCAUCCUUCUAAGAGAAGCUCAUAAUAGCUACACAAUGUCUUGUUCAAGCAAUAACUGAUAAUGGCUAACAAACACACUGAAACUGCUUGUCCUAAAUUUACCAAAAAAAAGGAAAAAAUGAAGAAUUAUAGGGUAUUGUGCAAAACAGAGUAUUAUCAGAGCAAGCUCUAGGAAAGACCUGUGCACAUUGUCUUACUUGUCAAGCCCAGAUAUCAUAUGAAUGCACCAAAUCCCUGACUCAACCUUACCAUUGAGCCAGCCCUUAUCAGUACUUUGUUGAGAAAAGGAAUAUCAUAUGGUUUUCACUCAUAAGCACCCCAUAAUUACGUUGGAAGCAGAAUAAUAUAUAUCCAAAAAGGAAAUUAUUGGUUUAAAUCACCAGGAAAAAGCUAAGACAUAACUCACAUCGUACAGCAUAUCUCCGAGCUUCAACUUAACUGCACCACUCUUAAAGACCAAUAUUUUCCCCAUGAAUCCGGGUGGCAACUCCUCCAAACUGCAUACAUUCUUAUUUGUGCCAACGGAAGACACAGAGCUGUUAACCAUCUCUUUUCCCUUUGCAUCACCUGAAACCAUUGGAAAGCUACCAGGAAUCUCCUUCCCUUUUGCCGUGGUUGGAGCAACACUUCCACCUGGUCUAGAGCUGCCAGCUCUGUGUUUAUGAUUCAUGCUGGCUGAAGCAUGUUCAGAUGUACCAGUAGAACCUGGCCCAGAUUCCCGUUUAACAAAGGGGAGGUUAGCAGGAAACUGAAGAAAAAGCAUCUUCUCUCCAUCAACUUCUUCCUGUACAUCAAUAGCAAAUUCAUUAGCAAAAAGAAACUCUAAGAUCAAUCUGAUAAAUGUUCAAAAUAUGAAAACAGACACACUAACACAAAUAUAGCUACCAGCAGACCAAGAUCCGAUGCAGAAUUUAUAGCACUUUCAUCAUACUCCGAAGCUGCUUUAGCCUCCCCAAAUUCUUCCCGAUCAAGAACCUCUAAAAGCUCAAAAAGCAUACCAUUAACAGACAAAAAACAGUUAACAUCCCAAAGAAACAAAAGACUAGCAAAUUCAAGGUGACCAAAAGCCAAAAAAAAUAAAAUAAAAAGUUAAUCACUUAUGAUCACCUGAUUAAACUAGUUUUCUGACUUUUAGAUACCAGGAGAAAUCAUGUGAUUAAUUGUUUAGUGCAAAACUGCAAAUAUGUCCUCAGUAUACUUACUUAUCUCUACCACAGCAUCUCCCUGCAUUUAUACUUGAUAUCUCCACCGUAUAUUAAGCUGAAGCUAUGGGUUUGGUAUUUAAAAAUAAAAUAAAAUAAAAUUCUGUAGCUUAAAGUGUUUCAUAGCAACCCUUUCUUUACCUAAUUUUGUAAUGUCCCACUUCCGCUUCUUUUCCCAUGACAUUCAACAGAAUACUUCCUUGAAUACUCCACCAACUAAUGUAUCCAGUAAGUAAUUAGGCUCACAUAUAGUGUGACAAAAACAUUAGUUAGUAAACUUUUGAUGUCAUUGAUACUCAACACUCGUUAACAAUCAUCAUGGAGAAAACUAUCUCUGUUACUUAAAGCUCUACUUUAUCCCCUCUCAUGUAAUUGCAGUGUUGCUAGAAAAACCUGUACUCCAAAGCAAAAAAGUUUCUGCAUUAAAUUCUGAUGAAAAAAAAAAGAAUAAAAAGAUCAAUCUAAACACCCUAUCUGCUUUAUGCAGCAUCAAGUUUACUGUGUGCAACAACCAACAAAUCUCCAAGUAUGAUGUUCAAACACUGGAAAGAGAAUUUCUGUUGUCUUGAUUUCCUUUAAUUUAAUGCAAGCAUUCAUGAAAAAGCAAUAGCAAUGCAAGGACUUGAAGGGACUUCAAGAUCAGUAAGGAGGGACAACAUGUCAGCACUCAUCCUGUCAUCACUAAGAGUGAUUUGAGCUAUACCUGGGUUCCCAGAGUAAGGUCUUCUUAUGGGAAGAGUAACAGGAUAGUAGCUGUGGUUGUAAUCCUAAUACAGAAUAACAAAAAAGUAAUUAGUGAGUCCUUUUAUUUGUGCUCGCAAAGACUCAGUUUGUCUUAGACAUGAAAGAAAAAACAAACAACAUUUAUUACCCAAGGUUCUUUAUAUUCUCUCUUCUUCUGCUUGAAUGAAGUAACAGUGGCAUCUUCUGAACUUUCAACCAUCCAAUCAAUUUUACUAGUUGAAGGCAAAGAAUGGAUGUCCCCCAUAGUAUCUGCAGCAGAAUCUCUCAAUCCCGUGCCAUUACUUCUGUCACCGGAACCUUCCUUAGCUGAGCCAUAUGUCCUUAAAGAAGUUGAUGAUGCAACUCCAUGGCUAAAUGCAACUUGAACAGAAGCUGAAAGUUUAUACAAGCACAUGAGUUCAUAACCAACCGACCACUCAAUAUAAAGAACUAACAACAACUUAUGAUGCAGCCAUAACUACAUGUGCCUGUACAAAACCCACCGAGUAGGACAACUCUAUUCAGCUAAAAAUAUGAUGUAAACGAUCUCAAAGAACAAUGAUAUUUACUUUAAACAUUGUUCAUAUAUCCAAUAAUUUUGCAGCAGUGUUAAAAAUUUUGUCGCUUUAUAGUGUGCUGUUUAACCGAUCACUCUGGAUCACCGGAUUGGUCUUAUUUGAAUUGAUCAAUUACAAGUUUGGUGUUAAAGUGAAGUUGUAAUACAAUCAUCAAGUGAUAACUGAAUUCCUAACACGCACAUACACACACCCCCCCCCCCAAAAAAAAAAAGGGUAAGUGAAUGAGAUUACAUUUUUUCUCAGCUUGAGGCCAUCUUCUUGUCAGAUGCUCCUGUACACGAAGUGAGAUGAGUAACAUGUAUAACAAUGAAGGGCAUUGCACUUCCCAAAAACACAGAAAACUAAACCACAAAUAACUAGAGUAAAAAGGUUAUACAUUGUUCCAUUUCUACAAUAGAAGCUACUAAAGCCCCUUCUGCAUUCUAAAUAUGAGUUAUUAAAAAAAAAAAAAGAAAAGAAAAGGCAGGCCAUCAAGGGAGGAAAUUCAGCUUCACUUUUCUUACAAAACCUUAGCCCUAAUGCAUAAAAAUCUGCCAACGAUGUGUUUUUGAUGCCAUUAAGGAACUGAAGUAAGUGAUCAAGUAAUUAUUAAUUAACAAGCCAAAGUUAUGUGAGGUAGUAAAUGUAAGUUCCUCUUAGCUCUUCAAGAUUAAGGCUGUCCUUGAUUGCAAAAAUCUAAACAGCAGCAUGCAAAUUUUAAGCACGAUAAUGAUGCAUUUGGUAAAAGAGGACCUCCAAUGUCCGUUUAAUUGCAGACAAUCUCGUCUUGAUUGAUUUCUGUAAGUUCAUCUUCAAUUAUUCAGUCUAUAUAUUUCUUUUCCCCAAUUUGAGUCCUUUGCUUCAGUUAAAAUGUGUCAAAUAUCACAAGGUAAAAAACAAACCCAUACAAAAGCAAGCAGUAUAAUUCUGUACAUUUUUGGAACUAGCGUAAAACUUUCUCAUUAAAGAUUUACCAAUAUCAACAUACAUCAAUCUAAGAAAACAAAACUUCAUUUUAAAGUUUGCGUUAGAAGGGGAAAAAAUGAUACUAAAGGAUAUGUUAAUUUAUCCUGACCUUGUACGGUCUAUAAAAGUCACAGCUAUAAUAAUUAGUAUAAAAUGCAAUAUUGUCCAGCAUAACAUUAAACGCAUCAGUCCCUGCCUUUUACUAAAAGGAUUUUUCUAACGGCUCUAUGGAUACUCGUUAACACGCUUACAUUCCACUCAUAACCCAACCUAUCAUAUAUAUAUAUAUAUAUAUAUAUACAUACGCACACUAAUAAUUACGACUUUCUUUUACAUUUAUACAUUUUUUCCCAAUUAAUCAUCUUAUAUAUAUACAUUUUACUUAAUUAAUCUUUUAUUUUUAAAAAUCUGACAUUUGAAAUAUAUCUUAACAGACCGUUGCUAUACAUAAAUCUGAUAUAAAUAGCGAAUGAAGGCGCGAGCAUUACUUACGUUAACUUUGCGAAGGAGAGAUUCAUUAAUCUCGUCAUCUCCGCCAUGAUCACCACCACCAGCUACUUCACUGCCAAUUCACAUGUAUUAAGAGUUUCAAGCUAAGAAAAAAGACGAUUAAUUGGAAAUUUUUUUUUAAAAAAAAAAGGUGUUAGAGAAAAUUUAAGUGGUAACAGGAUAAAUACGGGAAAUACGUUUUGGGUUGAAGAGGUGUGGACUUCCUCUUUGGUGGAGGACCUUUAGGAGCAAAUUUGACCUGUGAAAAAUACAUGGCAAAUUGAGAUUAGAUCGCAAAUAAGGAGCAAACCAGGACGCGAAUGAAGGGAAAAUCACAAUUGAAAACAGAAGGGAAAGAAACAAGAGAAAGUGGUGCAGACCCUUCUAGGAGUAGAAGGGGAUAAAUUCGGUUCCAUGUAGCUUCUGGUGCAAUUCCAAUAAAUUAGAGCUCGUAAUCAGGAGAAAGGGCUAUGAUUAGACAGAUCGGAGCGACAGAUUACCGGAAUUCUACCGCAAAAAUCAAAGCGAUAGGCUUAAAAUCGGAGAAAGAUGAAGAAGACGAUAUGACCGGGAAAGAAAAGGGGGAAAAAACAUGAGCUGAAUCGAACCCUGGACGGACGUCUCAACGAGAAAUCUGAACCGCCAAGCCAAGGAGGAAUUUGUUGAGGGAUGGCAAAUUUUAACAAAAUAAAUAUAACAGCACACCAGAAAAAACUAAAAUAAAAAAAAGGGGAAAAACAGUGGCGCAAUUGAAAGUUCAUCUAGAGAUCUUAUGUCUGCACUUUCCAUUUUUAGUAAUUACUUCUUUGCAAAAUUCUCAGGUGUUUUGGACUAAAAUGAAAAACUCUACAAGAGACUUAAGAAUAUUUUGUCAUACAAUCUAAAUUAGAACUAUGGGAUUUGUUAAAAUUGAACCAAGAUAUCAAUUUCAGUCUCGUACAACUGUUUUUGGAGUAUUACUUUUAAAAUUUUGGUCCUCGUGCGACCAUCGAAGUUUUAUUUUUUCGAUUAACUUUCGUUGUUUCCCUAGCCAGUUAUUACUCCCAUAAAGCGUGAAGGAAUUGCUAGUAAUUACUGCAAGCUUGCAUUUGGGUUUGAGGGAUUUAAUGAAAUAUUUAAAAUUCUCAUAAAUCACUCCAUGUUCUGUAGAUAAUUUAGGAAGCAUUUGAAUUUAGAAUUCAUCUAUUAUUUUAGUAUGUAAAUAUGUUUAAAUAAUUGAUAAAUUACAAAUUUGAAUGCCUCUUAAUUAAUGCAAACGAUCGAUAGAGAUUUGACAGAAUUUCAAAUUUCUUCUCACAUCCCUCAAUCUCCUGUAGGAUUUUUUUUUAAAAAAAACCAGAGUUGUCCCAAUUCCAAAGUAAUAUAUACAAAACUGUAAACUUCGUCACACACUACUGUUUCCUCACUCUUUCAAGUAUUCAUACAACAACAGUUGAUGCUAGUGACAUUUUGACAAAAUUAAAAAUUAAAAAUACAACAACAGUUGAUGUACUUCCGCUUGGAGUAUUGGAUUCGGUCUUUCAAGGUUCUAUAUAUUCGUUAAAACUUAGAAGUAUAGGGUUAUCAAAAUGUCGUGUCCUUGCAAUUUCCUUUGAUCGCGUUAGAGAAUAUUAUAAUUUUGGUACCAAAUAUUUGGGAUAUCAACAAUUUUAAUCUUCAAAGUUUGAACAAAAAUAAAUAUAGGCCUUGUUUGGUAAGUAAAUUUUUGACCAAAUUUAUCUACUACAAGUUUUUUAACAACUUUAACUACAACAAUUUCAAAAAAUUUCUCAAAAAUUUUAAACUAUACAUUUUAAAAUAUUCAAAAAUUUAUACACUUCAAAAAAAUUUUCUACUACUGCUACACUAAAUUACAGUAAAAUUUUAAACAAACACUAAAAGAACUCACUUGUCAAACGGAACCCUAGUUCUAAAUGUUUCACUUUCCAAAUACAUUUAAUUCAAUUGACUAGUUUUGACAAAUUGUUACUUGAAUUUGAACACAAAAGUAGCACAUGCUCGAGGUUAAAUUUUGAAAAAUAUUAGAAAAAAUGAAAAAAAGAGUUUAUAACCCAUAAUUUGUAAUUAAAGGUACUAAUUACUCAUAUGCACAUUAGUGCACUUUAAUUAUAAUUAUGGCCAUUAAUACCUUUUCCUUUUUUCUAAUUUUUUACAAAAUUUAAUCGUUGACACUUACUAUUGAUGUGACCGAAUUCCAGUAAUAAUUUACCAAAACUAUUCAAUUGAAUUAAUUGUGCAUCAAAAUUAAAACAUUUAAAACUAAAUUUACUUUUGUCCAAACUUUAAGAGCUAAAACUGCCAAUGCCCCGAAUAUUUUGUACCAAAACUGUAAUUUUCUCAUUGCAUUGUAACUUGUGUUCUUUUUCCUCUCUUUUUGUCUGGUUUACUUGUCUUUUGGGAGAAUGUGGCGCUCACCCCGCUCAAAUAAUGAUCUGACAAUACGCAUAAGCAUAGUUAUUAGUAUCACGAUUCGUGAUCAUGAGAUUUCACGAUAAUACCCCAUUUUGAGUAAAUGAUCCGCAUCCCAUAUUUCAACUAUUUUGUCCAAUAAUCUCCUUUGGAUUUAGAAGAAGAAAGAACAAAAUUUUUAGUUAAAUCCAUACAUUUCCAAUACAUUAUAUUAUAACCCCAAAGCUUUUAUUAAAUUCAAUAUCACCCCUAAUAUUUUAAAUAACACCUUUUUUUCUUAAUUAAAAUAACAUCAUACAAUUUACGCAUGAGUUGCAUUAUUUAUCAUUAUAUAAGUGGAUAGCAAUCUUAAAAACCUUUAAUAUGACCAUUUACUAAUUUUUUGUAAGAUCUUGCAAUUUGCACUUUUUUUUUUUUUGAGCCCAACAUUGGUAACUUCCAGUAAAGCCCAAUUUGGUAUUAUUAUAAUUCUACUAAAAGAACACGUGGGCGGUAAAGCUAGUUUGAGACAUUUAGCGAACACUGAGUUUGUUUAGAUAAGAGUUUAUUUGGAUGAUUUAUUUACUGUAGCACUUUUUGUGAUGUGAUAUGUGUGAGGUAAAAAGGUGAUUGGGAAGAUAAAAAGGUGAUUGGGAUUUGUGAGGCAAAAUUUUUUUUUCCAAAUUCUCUCUAUCCAAACAAACUCAAUUAUCCUCUAAACUUAAAAGCGAAAUUUUUGAUAUCAAAAGCACUUUUUAGCAAAAGAUCCAAAUUGAUACUUUUAAAAUAACUUUUGUGUUUUAAAAAAAAAAACAUUAAAUUUAAUUAUUUUAUCCAAUAUUAUGAACCAAAAGAGAGAAAUAUAUUUACCAAUUUUUAAAUUACACAUUAUCUAAUAUAAUAAAUGCUUAUUGAACUACAUAUCCAAACAAUGCAUUUAAAAGCACUUAAACACUUAAUAAAUGCUUUUAUUAAAAGAUCUGCUAACCCCAAACGGACCAUGGACCUGAAUUAUGUUCCAUGACAAUGGAUUCAGGUGGAAGAUUGACCAUCAGAAUAUCAAUUAAAGACCAAUGUCUGCACUAAAAUAAUCUUUCAAACUUUUAACAUAAUUGCCUAGCACUCUUCCAAGAUAUUGAUAGAAGUUCAAUGAAUAAUUGAUAAUGCAAUGCGUGGACCACGCUUCAACAAACAUAUGGACUAAUAAUUGAUUCAUAUGCAUGCACUUGACUGAAUAUUGCGCGUAUUACAAGCUAAGUUUCCAUAGGGCUUCACGAGGCUUUGAUUUAUCCUACACGUAUCAUUUCUGAGCCUUUACAUACUCGAGCUUAAGCUAUGCUUGACAAAUUAAAAGGAAGCAAAAACAAAUCCAGACGGGGUUUAGAACACGCCUUACAAAUACUUAAACAAGACACACACAAAAUGAGGUCACUUCACCGUAAAAGCAGUCACAGAAAAGGUGAAAGAAACUCUCUGGUUAAUUGACCUAUCAUUUUAAGUUUGAAAGUAGUAAAUAUGACUGAGUGGACAAACAAUUGGAAUCAGCAAAAGGUGCCCAAGAAUAUUAACAAUUCUAAGCUAUUGUGCUUAAGAACAAAAAGCAGGGCAGUUCAUCUAAUCCACUUCUCUACCACAAAAUCAAGCACUAAUCAAAAGACAAUUGAAAACAUUGAAAAUUAUGGGUUUGACAAUUCAUACUUAAAUCCCAACCCUAGCGAAGCGCACUAAGAAAAAUGUUUAGUCAAAGGUAGAAAGCUUUUGUCACGGAAACAUUCUAAAAUCUUGUGUAGACGCAUAACCCAAGAAAGUAUAAAAUUAAAUCUACUCGUAUACGUUUGAAACCCCUCCAUGUUAAAGGCUUCAGAUAUACAAGUACCAGCAUACAUCCAGGUACUUUGUCAGAGGAUUGGUCAAUCUUUUUCAAUACUCCCUUAACUUCAACCUAGAUCGCCACCUCAAAAACAUGGACUUCCUCUCACUCUAUGUAACCCACAAAUAACAACCAACAAUUAUCUCAUUUUUGCAGUAACUGAGAUCCCUUGUUCCACCAAUUCCCCCUUCUGAGCUACCAAAGAAGAAAAUAAGAAGUGUGAACAAAGAAAGAAAAGUUACAUUUAAAGCAUUCUAAACCUGCUGCACAUGAAGUGGAGAAGAUAUCAGAACCAAAUGUAUGUAAGUAAAAAAUUAGACAUAAAAAAGGUCUGAGACGUGUUUUCAAGUUUAACAUACCCUGGAACUUCAUAUACCAAGAGGAGGUCAUCUUCUUGACAGGAAGUGUAGAUGCAAGCAACACGCUGCUUCGAAAGCAGAGGAGCCAAAAGUAUUGAAUAAGCACAAAAAAAGUGGGCACAUAGAUAAAAAGAAGGGGCCAAGUUAGAAACACAAACCAAAAGCAAAUGACAGAACAAAUCACGACAAUUAGACCAACAAAGUAUGUCAGCAAUCAAUCAUGAAGGAAAUCAAGACGGAUAAAAAAUUAUAAAACUUCUGAAAGGCAGCGGCAACCGUCCAAUCACCACAGACAGGCCUACAAAGCAGUAAUCAGUAGAGAUAGAGCUUUUAUAUUUGAUACUCCAAUUCUUCCUCAUGAACUGAACAUUGUCCCAACGCUCUGCAAAUGUCAUAAGAGCACUGCAAGGUUAAAGAUGUGAGUCCCAAACUUCCAACAAGUAAGUCAUGGCAACAGGUAAAAAUCAGGUUCACAAGUGCUCCAACAAACCAGCCUGAAAAAUAUUGCAAUGUAAACAAUGAAGAAGCGUUAAGAUGGACGGAAAAACCAGUUAAAAAUAAGAAACAUGAAGCAAGCAGAUGAUUAAGUUAUGCAUUAGUGACAUUUUUCGAGUAUUAAGAGGAGGAUGAAUUUCGGCAAAUGAGAGAAGUCAACCCUGAUAAGUAUCCAUUGGAAUACGCUCAUCACUGCAUGGUUAGACCAAUGAGACAUGUAAUUCAUGGUCAAGGAAGCAUAUGGUUUCAACCCAGCACUGAAUAGUUUUACAUGUUCAAGUAGAGAUAGAUACUCAAACAGUUAACUUCCAAAAUAUUGAAAAUGCUGUAUAGCAUAACACAUAGGGUUGCACCACAGCUUUAGCUUUUCCACUUGUCAGACAUUUCCUAUGAGGUAAGAACUUUGCCCACACAACUCAGCAGUCAUCAUGGGAAUUCCCUUGCAAUAAGAUCCCAACCUAAACGAGAACUAAUGGUAUUUUAUUUCAGGUACAAUAUAGGUAGCUUCCAAGUACUGAGCGAUAAACAUCUCUUGCUACAAAAUCAAUGAUGGUUAAAAAUCUAGGUCCAAUGGGUGCUGAGAGUGCAGAAGUCAAAGGCAGUCCACAGUUCCAGAACCCCCUUUCCCCAAGAACGGGUGAAAGGGAAAAAGGCUGGACCAGUAUAAUUUCUGUUGCAGUUCAAGUAACACUAGAACAACUAGGACAAGUCAGCCCCCCCCCCCACCAAAACCCCCAGAAACUCUCCCAAUAUAGACUUCUGAAACAUGUCUCCCUCUGCACAAGAUUACUCCAGAAAGCCAUUAGUCGCCAAUGAACAGAAACAUGUGACAAAUGUUCAGGGCAACACUCCACCUUAUCCUAAACAGUUCUGAAUUCAUCAAAUGCAAAUGCCAAAAAAAGACAGUCUCAAAUCAACCAACAUGUCUCCUAUGUUUGGUAGAAUAAAGGAGUCAACAAGGGAAUUAGGAGAGCUUACCUUCCCUUUGAACGCCAUAUAACAAGAAUCACAUCCUCAUUUCAUCUCAGCCAUGAACUUCUCAUACUCUGAGUCUGCACCAUAGGUCUUCUCUGCAGAUGACACAGGUGGAGGCACAGGCGGAUUGGAGGCCCAGGGAACAUUAGUCACACUCUGUGACUGGUCCAGAGUAGGGGGAGGAGGUGGUGGUGGUGGUGGUUGUGCCAUAUUGUAGUAACCUUGAUAGCUGUAUGACGGUGUUGAAUACUGGCCAUUUGGUGGAAUAGCAGCAACAGAGUUACCAUAGGCAUACGUGGGAACAGAUUGAACAGGAGUUGUGCUCUGAUGAGAUUGGACUCCAGGUGGGUAACUUUGCUGUGUAUCAACAGCUGAAGCAUACGUCUGUUGUGUUUCAGCAGAAGACACAGUUGUUGAUGGAACAGCUGAAGUUGCUGUCUGCAUUGGAGGAGGAUACUGUACUCCAUAUGGAGGGACAGGUUGCCCAGUAUACAUGGCCGACCCGGGAGGAGGAGGAGGGUAAGAGGCAUAAGGAGGAGGAGGAGGAGGAGGUCCCCAUGGAACUAGAGCUCCUGUGUAGCUUCCAGGUGGUGGGGUUCCAAGAGGCCCACCUGCAGCAUACUGCUGGGAAGGAUAAGCACCGGUUGGUUGGGGAGGAGCAGGGUAUGUAGGCAUCGCAGGGGCAGGAGGGCCUGGAGGCACAGUGGGUUGAGGCGGUUUACCAGCCACUCUGACAGCUAUUGUCCUACCAUCCAGACGAUGACCAUUCAUGCUAGCAAUAGCAUUAUUAGCCUGUUGAACAUCAGCAUACUUAACAAAACCAUAGCCUUUACUCAGACUAGUGACGCGGUCCUUGAUAACCUUAGCCAUAACAAUUUCACCAAAAGGAGAGAAUAGGCUGAUUAAACCAUCAUCGUCCAGAGUGGGGGGCAAGUAUCCAAUGUAGAGAUUGGUCUCAUCGUAUUCCUUGGGCUUGAUCAGGUUUGCCCCUAAGCCAGGCGUGGUGCUACUCACACCACUAUUAUUGCUGCCGUUGCUGGCCCAAGGAGGAUUGCUUCCAGGAAUACCAGGAAGAGCAAGAGCUGCAGAACUUUGUUUGGUUGAAGAUUCAGGAACAGUCCCACCCAACUCAGCCAGGAAGUUCUGAUAUUCGUCAUCCAUCUUCUUGCCUGUGGUAUUCUUCACUGGACAGUCAAUAGUGGGGUGCCCACCAUCGCCACAAAUCUUACACAGAACAUCACUUUUAAAUGUUGAAGUUUUAGACGGACAUGCAUACUGCCUAUGGCCUGGUUCACCACAUAACCUACAAUACUCCUCGUCUCUAAUAGUCCCAUUCAAAGCAGCAAGCUCCCUGAGCUGUUGCCUCUUAUGCUCAUUAAGCACUUCAUCAACAGGCUGCAAGAGCUUCUCCACCAUGGCAGCGGCUGCAUCAAGUGACUCCUGAGUUUCAGCUUCCACCAAAACAUGUAAAUCUUCAUUCUCUGAGGGAUCGGGCUUCAAGUCCCUUUUCUGCUGUAACCUACCUUCCUUCACAGAGCCUUUACCUCGAAUAACAAUCUUUGCGCCUGUCUCUCUUUCCAUCCUCUUCUGAGUAUUACCUCUAGGCCCAAUAAUCAAACCAAUAAAAUUAUAACCAGGGAACUCUUUCAUCGGGAUGUAGAGCUUCUUCUGAAGCUUAGGAGGCCUGUAAUCAGCAGGUGGCUUAAAAGCGGGAUUUUUCUUGAGUAUUUGGGAUAUAAUCUCCUGCCUCUCCCUAUUCAACUUCUCCCGUGCACGAUAUUCCCUAGUAUUAAUCCUGAUGCCCAUAUUAUCGUAAAUAGGUUCAGGCGAAGGUGAGCGUGCACCUUCAGGCCUGUCAUCUAGGGGCAAACCAGAUUGCAACUUUCGAGUAAUCUCAAUCAAUCUGCUAUUAAGAGCUUGAAUUUCAGGGUCAAAUUCAAUACCUCCAGUAAGCUCCUUCAUGAAAUCCGGCAACUGAAUCACCGGCUGCGGCUGAUCAUCCGCCCACCUAGAUUUCCUCUUCCUCCCGCCAGUCCCUGUCCCCGUCCCAUCGCCUCCUCCGGUCCCAGCCCCACUUCCAUCGCUGCUGGCCUCGCUCGGAGGAGGAUCCCACCUGCUCCUGCGCCUUCGCCUGCUGGUGGUCUCCUCUUCACCUCCCGACUGGUCCUUGUCGGUGCCGCUAUGCGUGUUGGUCAAGCCAUUCUCAGAAAGCAACGGUCUCAGGACCUCGAGUUUCGGAGUACUUUCACUGUUCUCUCCGGUUAAAACCUUCUCCUUUAUCGGCUCACCCGCAACGGAAUUCUCGAGUCCGCUAUUCUGCUCGAACUUAGUUAAGGUUUCUUGAAGCUUGUGGUUGUAAGACUCAUAAUUUUGUUGGGAUUGAUCCUGAUCUUGAGAUUGGGAGUAGGAAUAAGAAGAAUUGGAGUAAUUUUGGUAGUAAGAUGAAUCUAGGGUUUGGGAAGAGUACUGAUCGUAGGAGUAUUGCGGAGGAGGAGCAGGAGGGUUUUCUGAAAAAGAAGCAGUAGAUUGAGAUUGAGGGUUUUCCGAGUAGCUGGAUUGAAGCGCGUCCAUCAGACGAUGGAUGAAAAAGCGGAGUUGGGGAAAUUAAUUGCGAAUGGAUUUGCAGAAGGGGAAGAGAUGAGUAAAAAUCGAUUGGAGAAGAAGAGGGAAGGUGGGGAUGUAUUUAUAUGAGGGUUGGGUUUUAUAAUCCUUGGUCUGGCCGUAAACGUCCUCAGAUCGAUCUAGCCAUCUAGGGUUGGAUUAGGAUAUCCUGGUUCAGAUGAGGCGGUUCACACAUUCUCGCUGCUGCUGAUUCAUGGCUUUGUGGCCCGUAUGGGUUUCGUAUGGGCCUGUGUUUCAGCCUGUUGGGUAUCAUGGGCCUAAAAUGCAGGAAUAAGAUUUUUGCGGUCUCCAAAAGAUAGUCGAUGCUCUUAGGGGCAGGCGAGGUCCCCCUAAUUUGAGAAGAGCACGCGCCGCACCUACUUGAGUUUUGAUGGACUGUAUACUUACAAAUUCGAAUUGAAUAAAUCCUACUAGUUAUUAUUCGAAUUUGAGUUCAAAUUCAUCAAAAUCAAGCUCAAUUCAAGUCGAAAAUAUUCGUUAAGGGCCAAAUUCAGCAUAUCUCAAUCACAUGAAUCAUCUCGGUGAACUCUACCGGUUUAAUCAGCUUACAUUAUUGUAUUCAGGCUGUAAGCUUUUCCAUACGGAGAAAACAAAUCUUAUUUUUUAUUUCUUUAGUUGCACAAUGUUUUGAAAUUUUGAAAUUCAGUGCGCGGGACCUGCAACUGCAAGCUGCAAUGUACGAGUUGUUACUAAAGGAAAUUGCUUGUGCAACACAACAGUCUAUUUGUUAAGCUUGCAAAGUGAUAAGAUGAUAUGACAAGAAUGCAUUAAUCUUUUUGGGUAGGUAAGAAUGCAUUAAUCUACUAUCAUGUCUUCACUUUUCUCUGCCGAAAUAACAAGAAUUAUUUCGCUUUCUCCUCUAAAUCACACUCCAAGGACCAUUUUGAGAGCAUGUUGGGUGCAAAUGAUACUACUUUUAUCCAUCUAAAUCACAAUUAUUUCGGUGUCUUCACUUGUAUCCAUCUUAACUGCCUUAUGCGCUAAUAAAGCGUGUUAAUACUUGCAAUUGUAAUUCAUAAAUUAUUGUUUUCAACGAAAACUAUAGCUAAAGUAUUUCUAAAAAGACCCGUUUAGAUCAAAUAGAUGUUUUGAUACGCUCUUCACAUAUUCUUAACUGCAGGAUGCUCUAUUUGAAUAUUCAAUCUACAGCCCACAGAAGGAUUUGAAAUCCCUUUUGGUGGCCAGUUUUAUCUAAAACAAGUUGAUUAGAUCGAGUUUAGUACAUGCAAAUACAUAAGCAAGCCAUCAAAAAAUUCAAAGCACCAUCUUUCUCUUCCCUCGUCCAUCAUGAUUGGUGCAUUUAAGACAUUACAGCAUAUAUCACGAAAUUGUUGAUAUUUCUCUCACAAAAGAGCCAUUUCCAUUUAAGGGCUGCCUCUUCGACUUUUAUUGCUGAAGAGGGUGUUGCAUAGAGGUGGCAAAAUGGAUAAAUGGUUCAUAAUUGGUUUUGACUUAAUGGAUGGUGGAUAAAAUUUAUCCAAUCCAUUUAAAUCCAUUUAAUAAAUGGAUUUAAAUGGAUGGAUCUAAAUGGAUUAAAUAAAAACCAAUUAUCCAUUUAUAAUCCAUUUAAAUAUUUUACUAAUUCCCUUAUUCCACAUUUUUCUAGUUUAGAAGACAGCCCAUGGAAAUGUAGUAGCUGAUUAGUCCAAACUUACGAAGACUCCCCAAGUCCUCGGACAUCUUUUUCUGAGCCUCCGAGGCCAACACCCAACAUCAACUGACCGCAAUGGCGAGAGCGAUGGCCCAUUGGCUGGCGAGCCGUUUCAGAAGUUCAUUUCCUUUCUGUUUCUUUUAUUUGGUUUUUAAGUAAAUGGAUAUAUAUGGUUUUUGUGGAUAAUUCAUAUAAAUCCAUUUAAUUUAAUGGUUUUACUUUGAUUAACCAUUUAAAACCAAUACUAUAAAUGGAUAAUCCAAAUCCAUUUAAUUAUGGAUUAUAUGGAUGGAUAAAUGGAUCUCAAUCCAAAUUGCCACCUCUAGUGUUGCAAGCUUUCUGCUACAUAAGUCCGAUAUGCAAAAGCAUUUUAGCGCAGCUUAAUUCACAAAACAAACUGCAAAAAGAACAUCAAAGAGAAAAGAUUACAACCGGUAGACAGCCAAGUCCCAGUCAUGAUGGUCUACUCGGAAGCAGAUGACUUGCGCAGCGCAAAAGGCCCAUGACGCCUUUCUCUAAAUUGGGUCUCCAUCCUCUUGCAACCAUCCAAGACAGCAGUCAACUCGUAAGGGGGAGCAUCAGUGGCCAACCACUGCUCAACAUAGAAUAUGGACUGACUACACGCUUUGUGUGGGCCCGUGGAGGUGACUUCGAUGUAGUCACAGUACCAACCAUGGUGGGCUCCAGAACCAUCAGAGGUCAAGUUGAGCCUGCAAACGGGUGAACUUAUGCAUGGGCCUCGUCCAGUAAAUAUAUCCAGACUGCCCCUCUCAAAGUAGUCAUGUUGUGGGCCCAUUAGACCCCAAUCCCUGAGAUUUGGGAUCCAAACUGAUUUUCCUGCGGAGUCGCCAAGAGUGACGCUAAUUCUGGAGUCAGUUCCCGCCUUUACGAUGCUUCCAGUUUGUACGUAGAGAGUGUAUACGCAUUCAUUCUGCAACAAAAGCAGCAUUCAACAUUGCAGAUAAGGCCAAAAAAAAAAAAAAGAAAAGAAAAUAUUUUAUGAUCAUGUAACAAAAGUUGUCUAUAUUUUUCGGCAAAUUUGUCUGGUCAAAAGCAAUUCUGAUAAACCCAUAAUCUGCGGCAGCCAUGCAUGGAUUUUGAAAUGAUUCUGGUUGCAUGAUCUAAUGAUUUUGCUGGUAGAGUUUGAUUUGAUCAGAUAAAGUAUGAAGAUACCAAGAUCAAAGGCCAGAGCAUCUUCAUUCAGAAGAGUGUAGCUGGGAAACAAAAAGAAAAAUGAAACAACAAGAACAAGAAGGAAAAAUGAAAAAUCUUCCUACUUUGCAUGCACCAACGCAAAAAGAACGUUGAACGCCAUAAAAAAUGAGCACCAGCAAGCACGAUCUAAGAUAAAUGUUUAACCAACUACUCAUCUGUAGAAGAUCAGCUUCAGAUUACAGCCGAUUCAGUCAGUAACUACAGAGAAAAAGCUUGUUGAAAAUUUGUGGUCUACAGCAAUAUAUACUAAGCCGCUACGCAGAUUGGCUUAGGUUCGAAUCAGUGAAUUUGGAUCGCAUCUUCGAAUUCACGAAGAAGAUCGCCUAGAGCUGCUGCUUGACUAGAAAGCAGAUUGAUAUAUUAUUACAUGCAUAAAGGCAAUAUUGCAAGUACGUCUGAGAUUGAUCCGAGUAAUUAAUGCAAUGCCCAGUAGUAUAUACUACCAACGACGAGGGAAUGUAGUAGUAGAUGUUAAGAGAGGUUUACAGAUGGAUGGGCGGCAACAGCAGAAGCUAAGACGACGGUGGCGAGUAUUAGCAGCAUUGAUGAUGAGAAGUGGCGACUCGUCAUCUUCUUCCUCCCUCGUAGCAAGAUCUGUUAUUUGAGCGUGACAUAGAAAAUAAAAAUACUGCUGCUUGAGCACAAUCAACUCCACUCUACAGAGGUAUAUAAACGGUUCUGGUUCUGCACUACUAUUACUGUAUUCAUGGGUUUGAUCGGUUCAAUGCAUCACCGAGUCCCUCGUCAUUGUUUGUUGUUCGUAACCUGUAAGGACCGACCACUGCCUGUAUAAAUUAAUUUUGCAUUUUCCUCCAUUGAGCUUUAGUAUUGCCACUCACCCAAGAAUCAAGACUGACUACCUUUUUCCUCCCAAACUAGAAUUUCGCCCUGCCUCAGCACAGUCUCUUUUCUUAUUUAUUAUGAAUUUAUAUAAAUAUGAAUAAUUUAAAUAUGAAAAUUAACAACGAUCCCACAUGUUCAUUCAUAUUAAUUUUAAAAAAUUAAUGUAUGCUAAAUAUUCAAUUAUUUACUAAUUUUUUAAAAAUUUAUUUACAUACUUUCACUAUAGUAUGAUAGUAUAUAUCAAAUAAUAUAUCCCAUAUAAAAAACUUGGUAUAUAUUCUUUUUUUUAUAAAUAUUUUUUUAGAUAAUUUAAAUUUUUAUAAUGAUCAUAAAUCUAGAACUAUAUAUUCACAUUUAAUCCAAUAAAUAUUAAGUAGAACUAUAUAUCAAGUAGAAAAGAUCCGGCAAUCCAGAUUUUUUCAUCAAUAAAUAUUUGGAUAAAAAUUUUUUUUUUUUCCCUCGCAUACAUGUCAUAAGUUUGAGAGAAGACACUUAAGACUAUCGUCUUUGGAAAAUUUUAUCAUUAUCUGAAUCAACUAGAUGAAAUAAUGUCAACUAAACAAAUAAGGACCCCAUGAUCUUAUUUGAAUUGUAAUUAAUGUGCAAUUAGUGGAUUUCGCAAUCUUCGUUAAACUAUUUUUAUUAGUCAACUUUGCCAAGCAGUUGAUUCGGACCGUCACAAAAUGUCUCUGUCAUGCUUAGGUUACUUUUACGGGAUGAGUUAAAGGUCUAGACCACUUUAAUGGGCCAGUAUGAAAUAAAGCCUUCUGGGUUUUGAAUCCCCAGUCCCUAUCAGGCAUGGCUAUUUUUAGGCAUAGCAAAGGGUGGGAUGCGCAAUUUCUUGGUAAUUUUCGUUACCUUCGUCAGCCUGUCCUUUUAACUCCUGAAAGCGUGGUUUCUUAUGAGUAAACGAUUUUAAUUAACUCUUCUAGCAAAUCCUUAUACUAUAUAAGAAUGAGUUUAGGGUAAAUAUGUUCUUUGGAUUUCAACCGUAAGGGUAGGGCCAUUUUGGGAAUGUAAGAGUUUGAAGUGCAAUUGGAGUAUUGAAUACAAGUCAUUAUAGCUAAUUUAGUUUUGUUGUAAUUACUUAGAUGUCCUUUUAGACAUUUAAAGCUAGGGGUGAUAGAUAUCCGAUUGAACAUUGGGUAUAACUAAAUUCAACUUGUGUUUUAAUGAAAUAACAUGAAAGCCCUUCUAAUCAUUUAAUUGUAUUAACAUCCAAGUCGCUUAAUUUUCUAAAGCAUUUCUCAUCAGUUAUCUGCAAACUUAUGAUAUAUAGAUAUUAAAACACAAUUAAUGCCAAUUUGUAGAGAAGUUUGCUUUCUUGGCCGUUACCCCCAUCUGUUCAUAUUCAUUUCAUUUACUUACAACUUUCUUCCACCACAAUCAUGUAGCCUAUUAAAUUUGGAUAUUGCUAUAUUAACUACUCCUCUUUCCCAUUUUGCAACACCUUUCUCAAUAAGUAUAUUUUCUUUAGCCAAUCUACUUUUUGGUUGUAAGAAAUCUCAAUAGGUAUGUUUUCUUUAACCAAUCUACUUUUUGGUUGUAAGAAAUCUGUAAUCUUGAAGGUUGUAUGUGUGAUAAUUUUUUAGUAUUUUAAUUCAAUUGUCCAUAUUAGGUAGGCAUGACAGGGAGGAGAUCACAUUUGUUAAUUAUUAUUUGUGGUUUAAAGUAAGUUUGUCAUUAUAAAUUUUCCCAUAUGCAGAUUGCAUCUACUUUUGUUGUUUUAACUAUUAGUUAUGAUAAUUUUCAAAUUGUUUGUUAUUUUAUUGAUGAUUCCAUUUAAGCAAAUUUUUCACUUCAUUUGAUUUGCCAAUAGGUUUAACUAUUUACUUAAAACUAUUUGGCUGCAAAUCUAAAGUAUGUACUUCAUUACUUUUAAUUGUUUUCUUGAAUUGAGUGGUCUAAAAUGUUUUAGUACUUUAUUUGACGUGGUUAUUCCUUUAAAUUAGCAUUUUAGUUGUUGUAUAUCUUUGCAACUAGAUCAAAAACUGAUGUUUAGUGAUUGUAAUCCAGAUGCUUUACUAUAUGUUUUAAAUUAUACAAUAAAUCAUAAUUGAUGGAUUGGUGAAUAUGGAGAUUUCAUGAUGAUAUGUCAUUGGAAUCAAUAUAAAUUCAAGAAUUUGGCUUGCAAGAACCGAAAUUCCACUAGCAAUGAUUUUUUUCAAAUAUGCUAAUUGUUCAAAUCUCACUUAUAUGACAAGAUAAUAUGGUGGAUUGCCUUUAUAUUAAGAUCAAAUUCAAACUAAAUAAUACAUUUUAAUAUCCAUAAAGUGCAUGAGCAGAUAUAAAUAGGUCUUUUAUUUUAUUAGGUUAGAUGCAAAAUAGUUGAUCGUAUCUUAUAAUUUUGUUUCAUUGCAUAUUUGUAUAUUUAACUUAUGAUGUAACUCAAUUAGUAUAUGUAUCUUAUGAUUUAACUUAUGAUCAUAUCUUAUAUUUAACUCAAUAUGUAACUUAUGAUUUUUCUAUUUAAUAUCAUAUAUUAAAAUUGUCAUACUUCAAUUUUUAUAUUAUAAAAUAUCAAAUAAUAAUUAUUAACUAUCUUUAAUUAUAAGUACUAAACUCCCACGCGUGGCGUGGGCUUUUCCUCCUAGUACUAGUAAUAAAAAAACAAAAGGAAACGUGAAAACCCAGCUAAAUAACCAAAGCUUCUUUUCGAGUUUCAACGGGUCCUUUUCAACUCGCCGGAAUUCAUCCCAAAUCCAAGAAGAAUCACUCCUCGACCUAGGGUUUUUUGGAAUCCCACCACAGCAAUCGCCUGUUGAAUUGUAAUUGGGUUGGGGAAUAGCCGAUCAGGGAAAAAAAAGGAUGGUACUCAAGCAGAAGAUUCACGAAGCAUUCAAGGGUGCGGUUGAGAGUAUCACAAGCCAUCGAACGGUUUCCGCCUUCAAGGAGAAAGGCGUCCUCAGCGUCAACGAGUUCAUCAUCGCCGGCGACAACCUCGUAUCCAAGUGCCCUACUUGGUCGUGGUAUACUUCAAAUAUUUCGCUCAUUAUAUCCGCAUAUAGUACUAAUUCAAUUCCCAAAUUGCCGACGAAUACUUUAUAAAACUGUAGCCUAGCUUUGAAUUGGUAAUGAUACAGCUGAUAUUCGAGUUGGUGGUUAUACUUGAUUUUGGUAUUAUGGUUUUGUACUUGUGGCAGCUAAGUAGUAAUAGCAUAGGCUCUUGAAUAUCAAAAAUUCUGUACCAUUCCUGUCUUUAAGCUCAGGCGAGGUUCUAAAUUCAUUUACUCACACUUAUGGUUGGUAGAGCUCUAUUUUAAAUCAGCUCUAGUUGUGUAUGGAAAUUUUGAUGUAGCUAAAACUUUCUUAGGCCUUAGUGAAAUAUAAUUAAGGGGUUGUUUGCGCACGUGAGCAAUAAACACACGGUUUUGAUGUUGCGAUUUUUUUGCCUUUUUUGAUAGAUCUUUUGUGCGAUCUUGAGAGUAUAUCUUUCCCUGGAAGUGGCUGUGUGUAAUCAACCAUAAUUAUCUUCUUCCUAAAACUUACGAUGUUGAUUGAGCAGCAGUUCUCCUCAAUUGAUUCCUCUUUCUAAUAGGCCACUUAAUCGCUAUGAAGACUGUUGGUAGAAAAUUAUGUGUAGGGAGUGUGUGCAUGUUUAUUAAGUCUAUGCAGUAUAUUUUGCAUUUUCACUGCUUCUAAGUGCUACUUCAUUGGUAGGGAAUCAGGUGAGCCAAACAAGAGGAAGCCGUAUUUACCUGCCGACAAGCAAUUCUUGAUAACAAGGAAUGGUACGGGUUAUAUUUUUGGUGCCUGUUUUCUUUACUUGCUAUUUUAUUUUAUAUUAUUGUUUUUGUUCAUAGCUUCCCUUUUUUUUUUUCCUUUUUGAUUGAGCGAAUUGAUGUGGGUGGCAUUUUUAAUACCUUGUGUGUGAUUGUGACUUUUAACACAUUCAACUUUUAUUAACUCUGAAUGUUUUGUUAAAUUUCUUUAGAAUGAUUGUGGAAUUGUGAGUGCUGAAAGUAAUGGAGUACUUUGUUACAUGAAACCCUAGGCUACAAUACAUAUUUGUCCAUUGAAAGUUUGGCUACCUCACAGUUUUACUUAUAGAUUACGUCUCUCAAUCUAACUUGCUUGUGCAAAAGGAAAUUCAGAUGUCUAUAAGGAUCCAUCACGAACCUUUAAAAACCAAAUUUGAAGAGCAUAAAUAGGCACAAUUACCAGUGAGUGAAUGAGUUAAAAUGCAUGAAAGUCUGUACCAACAGUCCCCCAUAACCAAUUGUUGAAAUAAUUCUUUUUUUUUUCAUGUGACGAAUUAUGGUGGAUUUGAACAUUCUUUUAAAAUGUAAAUUUUCCUCACUCACCCUGAAAAGACUUAUUUUAUAGGUCAAUGGCAAGCCUGUAAUUUGUGGUUCCUAAAUCAAGGUUGAAUCUGUACAAUGAUCCGACUGUAUGGGUUUUGUCCUUCCAGAAUAAUAUAUUUGAGCUUCACAUAAUUAAGCAUUUUAAUUUUUUGGGCAUGUUAUACCUUGCAAAAUUAAAUUGGCCAUAGUCCACUGCAUUUCACUUCGUCUUAAAUGCCAAUUUGAGGAUUUUACUAGCUCUAGGGACACAAAUCGAGUAAUAUGUAACGGUUCGCUAUCUAUGUUCUAAUAACAAGGUUUUUUGGCAUUUGACUGUUGAAAUGUCAUGCUUUUUGCACAGAGCAUGCAUUUUCUGUCGACUGUAAAGAAGCCUUGCUCAAGCUGUUCUAUUUAUUCGGCAUAUGUUUUACUUAGAUACGUGGCAUUUUUUUUAUGUUGUUUUAGAUUUUGUAUAAUUUGAAUAUGAAAAGUUAUUAGAGAGAACAUUAUAAAAUUUGAUUAUCCAAAAUCAGAAUUUAUAAAACAAGAAAUCACCAAAUAAUCACUUCAUGCCCAAAACAACUAAAUUACUAAAAUUUUACUAAUGCUUAAAAACUUCUAAAUAAUUAGAAAUAGGAAACAUAUAGUUUGUUCCGUUGUUUGAGUAAUUUGUUAAGCCGCCUCAAUCGAGUUGACAAGGACAUCAUUGUAUAAAUAUAAGAGAUAUUAAAAGUUGAAUCCUCAAUCCUCAUUUGUAUAAGAAUAAUGAAAUGAAGAAAUAUAAAUAUAUUGGCUCGAACAAUUUAUUUAUUUUUCUGAAGAAUUGAAACCAAUGCUAACUUUUAGUCAAUUUCUUGGUAUCCAAACAAAAUAAAGGAAUUUUAUAGUAGGAAAUCAAUCUAAGAUCGACUUUCCAAAUGAAUGCAUGUACUAAUUAAUUAGCAGAUCAUUGAAAUAAUCACAUCCGAUUUCCUUACGGCACAAGAUGCUUGCGUAGAUACCUAGUACGAUAAUUUUAGAAACCUCCCAUGAGAUUUUUAACUAUUUCAUUAACCUCCCUUUAGGUUUUGAAAAUUACAUAUACCUCCAUCGAGACUUAUUAUCUUAUAACAUCCAAAUCCAACAAAAAAUUAAAAAGUGAUAUUAGAGGAGAGAAGUUAAUAUGAUUUCAUCAUUGUCCCCAUCUAUUAAAUUGUUUAAUUAAUAUAAUUCCAGGCUAAAUAUUAAAGAAAACACUAGAAUUUGCGACUUAUCAUCAGGGUUUAAAUCAUAUAUGGCAUAAAAUAGGAUAUUAUUCCGUGUAUUUUACUUAAUAUAAGAUCUAAAUUACUCUUUUCACUUAUGAACACAUUGUCAAAUAUGACCAAUAACAAAUAAUAAUAAAAAAAUCAGCAACCAAAAUAUUACAAGAAACGAAUUUUAAUACCAUAAAAAUCUCAGCAACUAACGUUAACAUUUUGAUAAGAAUAUUUAUGAUGUUAAAGUUUGUUCUUUGUAAUAUUUUAGUUGCAAAAUUUUUGAUUAUUUAUUGUUGAUCAUAGUUGUUAAUGGGCAUGUAAUUAAAAAGAGUAAUUUGGAUAUUGUGUUAAGUGAAAAUAUAAAAUGAUAUAUUAUUUUUGGUACUAUAUAUAAUUUGAUCUCUAAUAAUAAACAACAAAUUUUCGUGCUUUUCUUUAAUGUGUAAGUUGGUAUUAAAUUAAUUAAAUAAUAUAGUAGAUGAAAGGCAACGAUGGAAUCAUGUUAUCUUCUCUUUUCUAAUAUUGUUUUUUAAUUAUUGGUUGGAUCUAAAUAUUACAAGAAAAUUAAACUCGAGAGAAAUUAGUAUAAUUUUUAAAAUUUGAAAAAAAGUCAGUGAAAUAGUAAAAAACCUUAAGAGAGGUUUCUGAAAUUAUCCCAUACCUAAUAAACCCUUUUAUGCAAAUGCAAUUGUUUUGUGACAUAACGAUAAUAGACAACAAAGAACCCAUAGAAUACUAGAUUCAGCAAAAGGAGAGGGACCAGUUUGAAAAAAAAAAAGAGCAAAAAUCUCACUACGCUACAAGCCUACAACUUCCUAGAGAGACAGAACUCUAUUCCAUUCUAUUCCAUCCAUAAAAAGUAUUUAUCCCUUCUCCUCCAACAAAUCAACCUCAAAAAAAGAACUAAAAAGAAAAAAAACCAGUCCAACACCCACAGCGGCAUUGACAGAGAGAAAAGAAGCACAUGAGGUCAUUUGGUGGUGGCAGCAGAGGCAUGGGCGGAGGAGGCAGCGGUGGUGGGAGCGUGCAGAUGCUAAGAAGUGUUCAAAGGGCUGUGAGAGCCCGAACUGUCGGCGGUGGGGGUGGCGCAGCCCAUGAACCUUUCUCUCAUACUCACCCCUCCACUACCAACACCGCUACUACUACUACUCUUGGUAGAACGAGACAAACUACUUGUAACAAUAACAAGAACCAGCCCAUCACGCUUUCUUCUUCUUCUUCUUCUUCUUCUUCUUCAACAGCUUCAUCUGCUAUAUUUUCUCCAUGCAACAAUCUCCUGCCAACAACAGUAUCAACCGCUGCACCACCCCCCUGGCCUUCUUCUUGUUCAUCGCCUACUUUUACGGAUGAUUCUGAUUGGGAGUGUAUCGAUGACUGUUAUGAAGACUUCGUUUUUGGGACUGUUCCAUCCAAGGACGAGGUCCAUCAUGCAGUUUUUGCUCUCCAGGAGUAAGUUUCUUGAAUUCCAUUUUUUCAUUUUCUUUUUUUCAUAUAAUUUCUUAAAAUUUUGGAAUGAAUUAUCACUUAGUUAUCAUUAACUUUCCAAGGAUGAAGUUUCGUACGGGGUAUCUCUAUUCAAGGAUGGAGUAUAAGGAAUACAUAUUGCUUGCUUAAUUACGGAGAUUUGUCUGACAUCUAAUUAAUAUGGUUAUUUUCCUAUAAUAUCAUUAUACCAUGGAUAUUUGGUUGUUGGAUUUUAUUUUUGGGAUGCUGAUGUUGACUUUGAUGUCGACGUCGGGAGUCAAAUAUUCGCCUUAGUGUAUCAGUCCCUAGGGUUGGAUAGAUCAGUCAAACAAGUUUCUCUAACCAUUGAAAAAAAAUCCCAUAAUCAUUUGCAACACCCAGCUAUGCUAAUUUGACAUAUUUAUGCUGUUGCUUUAUUGUUGAUAAUUAUGCCAUACAAAGAGUACCAUAAGAACCAAAAUUCGUGGUGGUUUACAACUUACAAGCCUUGGAACCCCAGAGACUAUAAAUGUAGAAAACAGCAAGUUAUAUACAAAAAUUAGUUCUUAUUGAGUACUGGGAUUUCUUUUGCCUCCUCGUUUGAGAUUUUACUAAAAAUAAUUAAAGAACAGAGCAUAACGUAAUUCUUAUGAAGCUUAUGUUUACAUUAGCAGUUAAGUCUUGGCAUCAACUCACAUUUCAUUGUUUCAUUGUGAUAAUAUUGCCAUUUCUUGAAAUUUUGUAAUUCUCAGGGUACUAGAUCCAGCCUCAGCUAAAUGUUUGAUCGACGACAUACCUGCAUACAAUUUGGAUGCUGACCUAGGUGGUCAAGUAUCUAGCCUCACUGGUUCCCUGCAAAGAUCUUCUCCAUUUGGCAGCCAGUUGGAUUGGAUGGAGCCCUCAUUGCAACUCUGCAGCCAGAGCACGUUGCAGGCUCAUGAUCGAGUUCAUGAUGCUUUGCACUUGCUCAGGAACGAACCUUCAGUUCAGGUUUAUUUUGCAUGUCAUGACUAUUUGAUUGUUAUUGUUUAAGCUUUGGCGUUAAAUGAGUUUUGCAGGAGUUGAUGGUUAAGAAUGAUCGGCAUCAGGAUCAUGUGAAGUUUUUGUGAUAAUUAAGAAGAAUUUGGAAAUGGACUAACUUAAAAAAAAAAAAAGCCCUUUAUUGUCGUCUUAACAAUUGUCCAAAACCAAAUAUUUUGAAUUUUGGUUAUGGUAAUAUUAAUCUGUAAUUCUUGGAAAAGUUGAGGGAAGAAUCAGAAUGAAUCAUUGAAGGAAAUAUAUGAACUUGGAAAAGCAUCAGUUGUGGAUCUACUUGCUUGAGUAAUUUAGUUGUUUUUAACAUCUCGUGAUAGCAAAUUCCUCGCAAUCUUUUGUAGGGUUUAUUGUCUUAACCAAGAUUAGCUUUCAUGUCAUAUUUUCUAAAUAGAAGCUUUCGCUGCUUAAUUGAUAGAGAAUGGUGGUAUCACUAUCUUCUGAUAAAGCUGUUUGGGAUGCUGUGUUGAAUAAUGAGGUAGUUCAGGAGCUCAGAGGGUCUCUCAGUCAAGGUUUGUAGUAAGUCCAGAAAAUGGGACGUUAUUUCCUCAUUAUAAUUGCGGUAUUAAUGCUUGCAAUUGUUGCCAUUCAUAGUUUCUUUGUUGCCCAUUAAUGUUGUUCUGAUACAUGAAGCAGAUAAAAAUCCUGCUGAGAAAUCAGAUGAUGGUUCUGAUGCUUCUGAUCCAGCAAGAGACUUUCUAAGUUGGGUAAUUGUCAACACCAAAGCGACAGUUAUGGAGCUUGUUGACAAGAUUACGAAGCUAGUAAAUGAACUAUUCCGCACCGAAGGAGGAGGAGGAGACAGGACAGCUGAUAGAAAAGCAGAUCCUUUUGAUGAAAAGCUGAGAGCAUCGUUUCUGCUCUCGGUCGUGGUUAUGCUAAUCGUGGUCGUGGCUCGAUCAAGCAAGGCAUGAUCAUAAUACUCUAAUUUGUCGACCUAACUGGUGGCAUUUCCUGCUGUGUAGGAAACGUUGUCUGUUGUACAUUGUAUUUUAAGUGGUUUUGUAAGAGAAAAUGACAUUCAUGCAUCUGUUUUAUUCUGUUCGUUAAUUUUCUACAGCUCAAGAAGCUUAGACACCCAUAAGAAAAAAAAAAUCAGGGAGCAAAAUGGCCUGGACGAAAUUAUACCGGUCAAUGGGACAAAAUUUUGCGAAGUGUAUGAUAACAUAGAAAAUCAAUAUGGAUUUGAAAAAUAUGAAGAUGAAAAGAAUAUACCGAACCUAAAUAAGUCAAUAGAAGUUUGCAUUCAUCCAGUUACAUUAUUAAUAAAGAAAGAAAAAGCAGGUUCCUAAAAGAAGUUCCUCAACUGCCUAGAAGAUUUUGUAAAGCUGGAGCACCUGUACAACUAGCUACUGUGCAAGACUGAAAGUACACUUCUCAUUGACAUCGCCGAUAAAAGCCUAAUUAUCAGCAAAAUUCUCAAGUCAGAUAAAUCACCGGCGUCAGUAGAUGAUCAAUAUCUGGAGUAACGACAGCCCGCUUACUGACUUCUCCCAGAUUGCAGCAGUGUUUGUCUGAUGUGUUGAUUGCCACAAUAUCCUGAGCAAACGCACAAUUGGAACCAGGAGAAACCUGCAAGUCGUUUCAUCCUUCUAAGAGAAGCUCAUAAUAGCUACACAAUGUCUUGUUCAAGCAAUAACUGAUAAUGGCUAACAAACACACUGAAACUGCUUGUCCUAAAUUUACCAAAAAAAAGGAAAAAAUGAAGAAUUAUAGGGUAUUGUGCAAAACAGAGUAUUAUCAGAGCAAGCUCUAGGAAAGACCUGUGCACAUUGUCUUACUUGUCAAGCCCAGAUAUCAUAUGAAUGCACCAAAUCCCUGACUCAACCUUACCAUUGAGCCAGCCCUUAUCAGUACUUUGUUGAGAAAAGGAAUAUCAUAUGGUUUUCACUCAUAAGCACCCCAUAAUUACGUUGGAAGCAGAAUAAUAUAUAUCCAAAAAGGAAAUUAUUGGUUUAAAUCACCAGGAAAAAGCUAAGACAUAACUCACAUCGUACAGCAUAUCUCCGAGCUUCAACUUAACUGCACCACUCUUAAAGACCAAUAUUUUCCCCAUGAAUCCGGGUGGCAACUCCUCCAAACUGCAUACAUUCUUAUUUGUGCCAACGGAAGACACAGAGCUGUUAACCAUCUCUUUUCCCUUUGCAUCACCUGAAACCAUUGGAAAGCUACCAGGAAUCUCCUUCCCUUUUGCCGUGGUUGGAGCAACACUUCCACCUGGUCUAGAGCUGCCAGCUCUGUGUUUAUGAUUCAUGCUGGCUGAAGCAUGUUCAGAUGUACCAGUAGAACCUGGCCCAGAUUCCCGUUUAACAAAGGGGAGGUUAGCAGGAAACUGAAGAAAAAGCAUCUUCUCUCCAUCAACUUCUUCCUGUACAUCAAUAGCAAAUUCAUUAGCAAAAAGAAACUCUAAGAUCAAUCUGAUAAAUGUUCAAAAUAUGAAAACAGACACACUAACACAAAUAUAGCUACCAGCAGACCAAGAUCCGAUGCAGAAUUUAUAGCACUUUCAUCAUACUCCGAAGCUGCUUUAGCCUCCCCAAAUUCUUCCCGAUCAAGAACCUCUAAAAGCUCAAAAAGCAUACCAUUAACAGACAAAAAACAGUUAACAUCCCAAAGAAACAAAAGACUAGCAAAUUCAAGGUGACCAAAAGCCAAAAAAAAUAAAAUAAAAAGUUAAUCACUUAUGAUCACCUGAUUAAACUAGUUUUCUGACUUUUAGAUACCAGGAGAAAUCAUGUGAUUAAUUGUUUAGUGCAAAACUGCAAAUAUGUCCUCAGUAUACUUACUUAUCUCUACCACAGCAUCUCCCUGCAUUUAUACUUGAUAUCUCCACCGUAUAUUAAGCUGAAGCUAUGGGUUUGGUAUUUAAAAAUAAAAUAAAAUAAAAUUCUGUAGCUUAAAGUGUUUCAUAGCAACCCUUUCUUUACCUAAUUUUGUAAUGUCCCACUUCCGCUUCUUUUCCCAUGACAUUCAACAGAAUACUUCCUUGAAUACUCCACCAACUAAUGUAUCCAGUAAGUAAUUAGGCUCACAUAUAGUGUGACAAAAACAUUAGUUAGUAAACUUUUGAUGUCAUUGAUACUCAACACUCGUUAACAAUCAUCAUGGAGAAAACUAUCUCUGUUACUUAAAGCUCUACUUUAUCCCCUCUCAUGUAAUUGCAGUGUUGCUAGAAAAACCUGUACUCCAAAGCAAAAAAGUUUCUGCAUUAAAUUCUGAUGAAAAAAAAAAGAAUAAAAAGAUCAAUCUAAACACCCUAUCUGCUUUAUGCAGCAUCAAGUUUACUGUGUGCAACAACCAACAAAUCUCCAAGUAUGAUGUUCAAACACUGGAAAGAGAAUUUCUGUUGUCUUGAUUUCCUUUAAUUUAAUGCAAGCAUUCAUGAAAAAGCAAUAGCAAUGCAAGGACUUGAAGGGACUUCAAGAUCAGUAAGGAGGGACAACAUGUCAGCACUCAUCCUGUCAUCACUAAGAGUGAUUUGAGCUAUACCUGGGUUCCCAGAGUAAGGUCUUCUUAUGGGAAGAGUAACAGGAUAGUAGCUGUGGUUGUAAUCCUAAUACAGAAUAACAAAAAAGUAAUUAGUGAGUCCUUUUAUUUGUGCUCGCAAAGACUCAGUUUGUCUUAGACAUGAAAGAAAAAACAAACAACAUUUAUUACCCAAGGUUCUUUAUAUUCUCUCUUCUUCUGCUUGAAUGAAGUAACAGUGGCAUCUUCUGAACUUUCAACCAUCCAAUCAAUUUUACUAGUUGAAGGCAAAGAAUGGAUGUCCCCCAUAGUAUCUGCAGCAGAAUCUCUCAAUCCCGUGCCAUUACUUCUGUCACCGGAACCUUCCUUAGCUGAGCCAUAUGUCCUUAAAGAAGUUGAUGAUGCAACUCCAUGGCUAAAUGCAACUUGAACAGAAGCUGAAAGUUUAUACAAGCACAUGAGUUCAUAACCAACCGACCACUCAAUAUAAAGAACUAACAACAACUUAUGAUGCAGCCAUAACUACAUGUGCCUGUACAAAACCCACCGAGUAGGACAACUCUAUUCAGCUAAAAAUAUGAUGUAAACGAUCUCAAAGAACAAUGAUAUUUACUUUAAACAUUGUUCAUAUAUCCAAUAAUUUUGCAGCAGUGUUAAAAAUUUUGUCGCUUUAUAGUGUGCUGUUUAACCGAUCACUCUGGAUCACCGGAUUGGUCUUAUUUGAAUUGAUCAAUUACAAGUUUGGUGUUAAAGUGAAGUUGUAAUACAAUCAUCAAGUGAUAACUGAAUUCCUAACACGCACAUACACACACCCCCCCCCCCAAAAAAAAAAAGGGUAAGUGAAUGAGAUUACAUUUUUUCUCAGCUUGAGGCCAUCUUCUUGUCAGAUGCUCCUGUACACGAAGUGAGAUGAGUAACAUGUAUAACAAUGAAGGGCAUUGCACUUCCCAAAAACACAGAAAACUAAACCACAAAUAACUAGAGUAAAAAGGUUAUACAUUGUUCCAUUUCUACAAUAGAAGCUACUAAAGCCCCUUCUGCAUUCUAAAUAUGAGUUAUUAAAAAAAAAAAAAGAAAAGAAAAGGCAGGCCAUCAAGGGAGGAAAUUCAGCUUCACUUUUCUUACAAAACCUUAGCCCUAAUGCAUAAAAAUCUGCCAACGAUGUGUUUUUGAUGCCAUUAAGGAACUGAAGUAAGUGAUCAAGUAAUUAUUAAUUAACAAGCCAAAGUUAUGUGAGGUAGUAAAUGUAAGUUCCUCUUAGCUCUUCAAGAUUAAGGCUGUCCUUGAUUGCAAAAAUCUAAACAGCAGCAUGCAAAUUUUAAGCACGAUAAUGAUGCAUUUGGUAAAAGAGGACCUCCAAUGUCCGUUUAAUUGCAGACAAUCUCGUCUUGAUUGAUUUCUGUAAGUUCAUCUUCAAUUAUUCAGUCUAUAUAUUUCUUUUCCCCAAUUUGAGUCCUUUGCUUCAGUUAAAAUGUGUCAAAUAUCACAAGGUAAAAAACAAACCCAUACAAAAGCAAGCAGUAUAAUUCUGUACAUUUUUGGAACUAGCGUAAAACUUUCUCAUUAAAGAUUUACCAAUAUCAACAUACAUCAAUCUAAGAAAACAAAACUUCAUUUUAAAGUUUGCGUUAGAAGGGGAAAAAAUGAUACUAAAGGAUAUGUUAAUUUAUCCUGACCUUGUACGGUCUAUAAAAGUCACAGCUAUAAUAAUUAGUAUAAAAUGCAAUAUUGUCCAGCAUAACAUUAAACGCAUCAGUCCCUGCCUUUUACUAAAAGGAUUUUUCUAACGGCUCUAUGGAUACUCGUUAACACGCUUACAUUCCACUCAUAACCCAACCUAUCAUAUAUAUAUAUAUAUAUAUAUAUACAUACGCACACUAAUAAUUACGACUUUCUUUUACAUUUAUACAUUUUUUCCCAAUUAAUCAUCUUAUAUAUAUACAUUUUACUUAAUUAAUCUUUUAUUUUUAAAAAUCUGACAUUUGAAAUAUAUCUUAACAGACCGUUGCUAUACAUAAAUCUGAUAUAAAUAGCGAAUGAAGGCGCGAGCAUUACUUACGUUAACUUUGCGAAGGAGAGAUUCAUUAAUCUCGUCAUCUCCGCCAUGAUCACCACCACCAGCUACUUCACUGCCAAUUCACAUGUAUUAAGAGUUUCAAGCUAAGAAAAAAGACGAUUAAUUGGAAAUUUUUUUUUAAAAAAAAAAGGUGUUAGAGAAAAUUUAAGUGGUAACAGGAUAAAUACGGGAAAUACGUUUUGGGUUGAAGAGGUGUGGACUUCCUCUUUGGUGGAGGACCUUUAGGAGCAAAUUUGACCUGUGAAAAAUACAUGGCAAAUUGAGAUUAGAUCGCAAAUAAGGAGCAAACCAGGACGCGAAUGAAGGGAAAAUCACAAUUGAAAACAGAAGGGAAAGAAACAAGAGAAAGUGGUGCAGACCCUUCUAGGAGUAGAAGGGGAUAAAUUCGGUUCCAUGUAGCUUCUGGUGCAAUUCCAAUAAAUUAGAGCUCGUAAUCAGGAGAAAGGGCUAUGAUUAGACAGAUCGGAGCGACAGAUUACCGGAAUUCUACCGCAAAAAUCAAAGCGAUAGGCUUAAAAUCGGAGAAAGAUGAAGAAGACGAUAUGACCGGGAAAGAAAAGGGGGAAAAAACAUGAGCUGAAUCGAACCCUGGACGGACGUCUCAACGAGAAAUCUGAACCGCCAAGCCAAGGAGGAAUUUGUUGAGGGAUGGCAAAUUUUAACAAAAUAAAUAUAACAGCACACCAGAAAAAACUAAAAUAAAAAAAAGGGGAAAAACAGUGGCGCAAUUGAAAGUUCAUCUAGAGAUCUUAUGUCUGCACUUUCCAUUUUUAGUAAUUACUUCUUUGCAAAAUUCUCAGGUGUUUUGGACUAAAAUGAAAAACUCUACAAGAGACUUAAGAAUAUUUUGUCAUACAAUCUAAAUUAGAACUAUGGGAUUUGUUAAAAUUGAACCAAGAUAUCAAUUUCAGUCUCGUACAACUGUUUUUGGAGUAUUACUUUUAAAAUUUUGGUCCUCGUGCGACCAUCGAAGUUUUAUUUUUUCGAUUAACUUUCGUUGUUUCCCUAGCCAGUUAUUACUCCCAUAAAGCGUGAAGGAAUUGCUAGUAAUUACUGCAAGCUUGCAUUUGGGUUUGAGGGAUUUAAUGAAAUAUUUAAAAUUCUCAUAAAUCACUCCAUGUUCUGUAGAUAAUUUAGGAAGCAUUUGAAUUUAGAAUUCAUCUAUUAUUUUAGUAUGUAAAUAUGUUUAAAUAAUUGAUAAAUUACAAAUUUGAAUGCCUCUUAAUUAAUGCAAACGAUCGAUAGAGAUUUGACAGAAUUUCAAAUUUCUUCUCACAUCCCUCAAUCUCCUGUAGGAUUUUUUUUUAAAAAAAACCAGAGUUGUCCCAAUUCCAAAGUAAUAUAUACAAAACUGUAAACUUCGUCACACACUACUGUUUCCUCACUCUUUCAAGUAUUCAUACAACAACAGUUGAUGCUAGUGACAUUUUGACAAAAUUAAAAAUUAAAAAUACAACAACAGUUGAUGUACUUCCGCUUGGAGUAUUGGAUUCGGUCUUUCAAGGUUCUAUAUAUUCGUUAAAACUUAGAAGUAUAGGGUUAUCAAAAUGUCGUGUCCUUGCAAUUUCCUUUGAUCGCGUUAGAGAAUAUUAUAAUUUUGGUACCAAAUAUUUGGGAUAUCAACAAUUUUAAUCUUCAAAGUUUGAACAAAAAUAAAUAUAGGCCUUGUUUGGUAAGUAAAUUUUUGACCAAAUUUAUCUACUACAAGUUUUUUAACAACUUUAACUACAACAAUUUCAAAAAAUUUCUCAAAAAUUUUAAACUAUACAUUUUAAAAUAUUCAAAAAUUUAUACACUUCAAAAAAAUUUUCUACUACUGCUACACUAAAUUACAGUAAAAUUUUAAACAAACACUAAAAGAACUCACUUGUCAAACGGAACCCUAGUUCUAAAUGUUUCACUUUCCAAAUACAUUUAAUUCAAUUGACUAGUUUUGACAAAUUGUUACUUGAAUUUGAACACAAAAGUAGCACAUGCUCGAGGUUAAAUUUUGAAAAAUAUUAGAAAAAAUGAAAAAAAGAGUUUAUAACCCAUAAUUUGUAAUUAAAGGUACUAAUUACUCAUAUGCACAUUAGUGCACUUUAAUUAUAAUUAUGGCCAUUAAUACCUUUUCCUUUUUUCUAAUUUUUUACAAAAUUUAAUCGUUGACACUUACUAUUGAUGUGACCGAAUUCCAGUAAUAAUUUACCAAAACUAUUCAAUUGAAUUAAUUGUGCAUCAAAAUUAAAACAUUUAAAACUAAAUUUACUUUUGUCCAAACUUUAAGAGCUAAAACUGCCAAUGCCCCGAAUAUUUUGUACCAAAACUGUAAUUUUCUCAUUGCAUUGUAACUUGUGUUCUUUUUCCUCUCUUUUUGUCUGGUUUACUUGUCUUUUGGGAGAAUGUGGCGCUCACCCCGCUCAAAUAAUGAUCUGACAAUACGCAUAAGCAUAGUUAUUAGUAUCACGAUUCGUGAUCAUGAGAUUUCACGAUAAUACCCCAUUUUGAGUAAAUGAUCCGCAUCCCAUAUUUCAACUAUUUUGUCCAAUAAUCUCCUUUGGAUUUAGAAGAAGAAAGAACAAAAUUUUUAGUUAAAUCCAUACAUUUCCAAUACAUUAUAUUAUAACCCCAAAGCUUUUAUUAAAUUCAAUAUCACCCCUAAUAUUUUAAAUAACACCUUUUUUUCUUAAUUAAAAUAACAUCAUACAAUUUACGCAUGAGUUGCAUUAUUUAUCAUUAUAUAAGUGGAUAGCAAUCUUAAAAACCUUUAAUAUGACCAUUUACUAAUUUUUUGUAAGAUCUUGCAAUUUGCACUUUUUUUUUUUUUGAGCCCAACAUUGGUAACUUCCAGUAAAGCCCAAUUUGGUAUUAUUAUAAUUCUACUAAAAGAACACGUGGGCGGUAAAGCUAGUUUGAGACAUUUAGCGAACACUGAGUUUGUUUAGAUAAGAGUUUAUUUGGAUGAUUUAUUUACUGUAGCACUUUUUGUGAUGUGAUAUGUGUGAGGUAAAAAGGUGAUUGGGAAGAUAAAAAGGUGAUUGGGAUUUGUGAGGCAAAAUUUUUUUUUCCAAAUUCUCUCUAUCCAAACAAACUCAAUUAUCCUCUAAACUUAAAAGCGAAAUUUUUGAUAUCAAAAGCACUUUUUAGCAAAAGAUCCAAAUUGAUACUUUUAAAAUAACUUUUGUGUUUUAAAAAAAAAAACAUUAAAUUUAAUUAUUUUAUCCAAUAUUAUGAACCAAAAGAGAGAAAUAUAUUUACCAAUUUUUAAAUUACACAUUAUCUAAUAUAAUAAAUGCUUAUUGAACUACAUAUCCAAACAAUGCAUUUAAAAGCACUUAAACACUUAAUAAAUGCUUUUAUUAAAAGAUCUGCUAACCCCAAACGGACCAUGGACCUGAAUUAUGUUCCAUGACAAUGGAUUCAGGUGGAAGAUUGACCAUCAGAAUAUCAAUUAAAGACCAAUGUCUGCACUAAAAUAAUCUUUCAAACUUUUAACAUAAUUGCCUAGCACUCUUCCAAGAUAUUGAUAGAAGUUCAAUGAAUAAUUGAUAAUGCAAUGCGUGGACCACGCUUCAACAAACAUAUGGACUAAUAAUUGAUUCAUAUGCAUGCACUUGACUGAAUAUUGCGCGUAUUACAAGCUAAGUUUCCAUAGGGCUUCACGAGGCUUUGAUUUAUCCUACACGUAUCAUUUCUGAGCCUUUACAUACUCGAGCUUAAGCUAUGCUUGACAAAUUAAAAGGAAGCAAAAACAAAUCCAGACGGGGUUUAGAACACGCCUUACAAAUACUUAAACAAGACACACACAAAAUGAGGUCACUUCACCGUAAAAGCAGUCACAGAAAAGGUGAAAGAAACUCUCUGGUUAAUUGACCUAUCAUUUUAAGUUUGAAAGUAGUAAAUAUGACUGAGUGGACAAACAAUUGGAAUCAGCAAAAGGUGCCCAAGAAUAUUAACAAUUCUAAGCUAUUGUGCUUAAGAACAAAAAGCAGGGCAGUUCAUCUAAUCCACUUCUCUACCACAAAAUCAAGCACUAAUCAAAAGACAAUUGAAAACAUUGAAAAUUAUGGGUUUGACAAUUCAUACUUAAAUCCCAACCCUAGCGAAGCGCACUAAGAAAAAUGUUUAGUCAAAGGUAGAAAGCUUUUGUCACGGAAACAUUCUAAAAUCUUGUGUAGACGCAUAACCCAAGAAAGUAUAAAAUUAAAUCUACUCGUAUACGUUUGAAACCCCUCCAUGUUAAAGGCUUCAGAUAUACAAGUACCAGCAUACAUCCAGGUACUUUGUCAGAGGAUUGGUCAAUCUUUUUCAAUACUCCCUUAACUUCAACCUAGAUCGCCACCUCAAAAACAUGGACUUCCUCUCACUCUAUGUAACCCACAAAUAACAACCAACAAUUAUCUCAUUUUUGCAGUAACUGAGAUCCCUUGUUCCACCAAUUCCCCCUUCUGAGCUACCAAAGAAGAAAAUAAGAAGUGUGAACAAAGAAAGAAAAGUUACAUUUAAAGCAUUCUAAACCUGCUGCACAUGAAGUGGAGAAGAUAUCAGAACCAAAUGUAUGUAAGUAAAAAAUUAGACAUAAAAAAGGUCUGAGACGUGUUUUCAAGUUUAACAUACCCUGGAACUUCAUAUACCAAGAGGAGGUCAUCUUCUUGACAGGAAGUGUAGAUGCAAGCAACACGCUGCUUCGAAAGCAGAGGAGCCAAAAGUAUUGAAUAAGCACAAAAAAAGUGGGCACAUAGAUAAAAAGAAGGGGCCAAGUUAGAAACACAAACCAAAAGCAAAUGACAGAACAAAUCACGACAAUUAGACCAACAAAGUAUGUCAGCAAUCAAUCAUGAAGGAAAUCAAGACGGAUAAAAAAUUAUAAAACUUCUGAAAGGCAGCGGCAACCGUCCAAUCACCACAGACAGGCCUACAAAGCAGUAAUCAGUAGAGAUAGAGCUUUUAUAUUUGAUACUCCAAUUCUUCCUCAUGAACUGAACAUUGUCCCAACGCUCUGCAAAUGUCAUAAGAGCACUGCAAGGUUAAAGAUGUGAGUCCCAAACUUCCAACAAGUAAGUCAUC
rnacentral:lncRNA from 1 species